AGAGAUAGGAAAGCAAACACAAGAUGUACGUGGUUCACCCAGAUUGGCUACGUCCACGAAAUAGAGGAGUUCUCAUUAAUUGUGAAGGGUUUACACAAGUACAUAGGUUCAAGCUCUCCUUUAGUGAGUAGAAGUGAAUGAUUUAGUACAAAUGACAUUAGGAAAUAUUGUGGGAGAAUAAUCUUGUAACCACGAAACUUCUAAGUACCGGAGUGUGGUAUCGUCUUAACUUGCCUUAUCUGUCUCAUAGGUAGAUGUGGCAUCUUCUCUGGAAGUACUCUUCCUCCAUCCAGGGGUGGUAUCUUUAACUGGUAGAGAUGCACAAGGUAAUGUAUCAAUUUCACUUGAAGCUUACUUGUAGUUUCAGGCUUGGUCAAGCGCGAUACAAACCAUGUAGUAGGAGUCCCCCAAGUCGCCGAGCUAGGGGAUCUGCUGAAAGAGGUGACAGACAAGGUAAGCAAUCAGAGCUCCGGCUGAUUGUUCACAUUCUCCCUAUCUUGCAGGCAGCAUGAAGGAUAAAGAGAAGAAAAAUGAGAAGAGAUGAUAUGGGAUACUUUUUCUUUUGAAGAAGUAACUUUCCACAGGCUUAUUCUUGAACUGGGCUGGAGGGUUUUCUGGUUUCCUCCAGAGUAUAAGGCCGAAUGAAGAAUUUGAGGGUCAAAACAAGUCCAUCAAAUCUAGAGUACGUUCGACCCUGCUGAUAUGGGAUACUUUUGCUUUUGACAAAGUAAUGGAUGUAUCGGCACGUGUGCUGUUACGCUUGUCUCCACAUGUUUCCGUGUAUCCUUCUCACUUGCCCUAUCUGUUCCUCAGGCAGAUGCGGUAUCUUCCCUGGAAGCAUAAGAUGUUGAAGAUGAGUACUCGAGAGCAAUGCCAGGUAAGUAAUCAGGUAAGGGGUUCCAGGCAGUCAGUUCCUGGCUGGAAGCUUGAUUCCAAGUGCUGACUGGUUGCUUUCUUUCUCCUUGUCUUGCAGGUAAGAACAAGGCCAAAGGAAAAGACAGGGAAAAAGCAUGAUAUGGGAUACUCUUGCUUUUAACCCUGAUGAUAUGAGAUAUUCUUGCUCUAGUAUAGCUUGUUUACAGAGGUAUUAUCGGGGGGAAAGAAAGCUGAAUAUUUCGAAAGGCUUCGUUGGGAGUGCCCUCUCAGAUAAGAGGAAGGGUUGAGCAUUUUUGAAGGUCUGCCUGUCUGUUGGGGAUGGAGGUCGACAUAUAUAGGAGUCUCCCUAACAUCAAGUAAUAAUGUUAUUCCUUUACCCUGCUUGGUCAUAGCACGGUAGUGGGAGCUGCCAACUUCACAUGUUUUAACUCUGUCAGAGCACUUUGAAAAAGUGGUCUGUGGUAUCUGGAAAGCUAAUGUUGCGUGUGAAGAUUACAGACAAGCUUUAUCCAAGAAGAUCCAGCUCUUGAAGUUGGGAAAGUGGUGCCUCUUCGGUUUUCGAACAAGCAAUCCUGUCGGGGAUCUGGCUCUCGAGAUUCGGAGAACGAUGCCUCUUCGAUUUUUGAGAAAGCAAUCCUGCUGGGGGUCUGGCUCUCGAGAUUCGGAGAGCGGUGUCUCUUCGAUUUUUGAGAAAGUAAUCAUGUUGGGAGUCUGGCUCUCGAGAUUCGGAGGGCGGUGCCUCUUCAAUUUUGGAGCAAGCAAUCUUGUUGGGAAUGUUUUCUCGAAUGUGAGUAAAGGUUGGGCAUGUUUGCUAGUCUACCUUGCCACGAAGCACAGAGGUUGACACACAGGGACUUUCCAAUUAUCCAGCAGUGGUACUGUUCCUUUACCCUUUCUUCGAUUUUUGAGAAAGUAAUCAUGUUGGGAGUCUGGCUCUCGAGAUUCGGAGGGCGGUGCCUCUUCGAUUUUGGAGCAAGCAAUCUUGUUGGGAGUGUUUUCUCGAAUGUGAGUAAAGGUUGGGCAUGUUUGCUAGUCUACCUUGCCACGAAGCACAGAGGUUGACACACAGGGACUUUCCAAUUAUCCAGCAGUGGUACUGUUCCUUUACCCUCUCUUCGAUUUUUGAGAAAGUAAUCAUGUUGGGAGUCUGGCUCUCGAGAUUCGGAGGGCGGUGCCUCUUCGAUUUUGGAGCAAGCAAUCUUGCUGGGAGUGUUUUCUCGAAUGUGAGUAAAGGUUGGGCAUGUUUGCUAGUCUACCUUGCCACGAAGCACAGAGGUUGACACACAGGGACUUUCCAAUUAUCCAACAGUGGUACUGUUCUUUUACCCUCUCUUCGAUUUUUGAGAAAGUAAUCAUGUUGGGAGUCUGGCUCUCGAGAUUCGGAGGGCGGUGCCUCUUCAAUUUUGGAGCAAGCAAUCUUGUUGGGAGUUUUCUCGAAUGUAAGUAAAGGUUGGGCAUGUUUGCUAGUCUGCCUUGCCACGAAGUACAGAGGUUGACACACCGGGACUUUCCAAUUAUCCAGCAGUGGUACUGUUCCUUUACCCUUGUAGGUAAUAAUAUGGUUGUUAGUGUUGUUUCUUUGCUAUACUUUUACCCUUCUUGGUCAGAGCGAUGUAGUGGGAGCUGCAAGCUUCACGUGUCUCAACUUUGUCAAAGAACUUUGGCAAAGUUAUCUGUGGUACCCAUGAGCUACUGUUGCGUGUGGGAAGUGGGUGAUUGAACAGUACGAUUCAUGUGCUUUCUACUUCACCAGAAAUCUUCGACAGAAUGCCCAUAAUUUCCGCAAAGCUGAGUGUGCGUGUGACAGGUGCUGACAAGGCUGGAAAAGUAGGUGCCUCUUCGAUUUCUGAGAUCGGCCCUCGUGGUCUCUGAGCAGCCCAGCUUUUGAGAAAGCAAGCCUCUUCGAUUUCUGAGAUCGGCCUUCGUGGUCUUUGAGCAGCCCAGCUUUUGAGAAAGCAAACGCCUCUUCGAUUUCUGAGAUCGACCCUCGUGGUCUCUGAGCAGCCCAGCUUUUGAGAAAGUAAACGCCUCUUCGAUUUCUGAGCAGGCGCCUCUUCGAUUUUUUAAGCUUCGUCGAGUGCAGAUUUUUAUAGGGGCUGACAUUAAGUUCCAAAGCACACUUGAAUCUCCACCAGUAGAAGCUCCAUUCUUGCACUUCUAAGAUCUUGAUUUGUCCGACCUCUUCUCUCUUCAACACCUUUGAAAAUGUCUGGCCCCUCCGACUGUCGUUUUGACUUGAACCUUGUUGAAGAGGCAGCCCCGCCUUCUCCAGACAACAUAUGGCGCCCAUCCUUCGUCUCCCCUACUGGUCCUCUUACCGUUGGGGAUUCCGUGAUGAAGAAUGAUAUGACCGCUGCGGUAGUGGCCAGGAACCUUCUCACUCCCAAAGAUAACAGACUACUUUCCAAACGGUCUGAUGAGUUGGCUGUUAAGGAUUCUCUGGCUCUUAGUGUUCAGUGUGCAGGUUCUGUGUCUAAUAUGGCCCAACACCUAUUUGCUCGAACCCGCCAAGUUGAAUCAUUGGCGGCUGAAGUGAUGAGUCUCAAACAGGAUAUUAGAGGGCUCAAGCAUGAGAAUAAACAAUUGCACCAGCUCGCACAUGACUAUGCUACAAACAUGAAGAGGAAGCUUGACCAGAUGAAGGAAUCUGAUGGUCAGGUUUUACUUGAUCAUCAGAGAUUUGUGGGUUUGUUCCAAAGGCAUUUAUUGCCUUUGUCUUCUGGGGCUGUACCGCGUAGUGAAGCUCCAAAUGAUCAACCUCUGAUGCCUCCUCCUUCUAAGGUUCUGUCCAGUACUGAGGCUCCGAAUGAUCCCCUUCCGGUGCCUUCUCUUUCUGGGGCUCUACCGACUGCUGAGACUUCUCCUAAGCAACCUUUGUGAAGGCUCCCUCUUGUUUGUUUAUUUGACUCAUGUAUAUGUACAUAUUUGUAACUUAUCGGGGAUAUCAAUAAAUAAGCUUUCCUUCAUUUCAACGUAUUGUGUUAAAUACACCAAAGCCUUCUUCGCUAAGUUCUUUGAAUUUUCUUUUGUUGAAGCUUGUAUGUUGAAGCUUUGUGAGUGGAGCAUGUAGGUUGAGCUAGUGUUCCCUUAAUUUCCCGAGUGAGGAAAACUUCUCAGUUGGAGACUUGGAAAAUCCAAGUCACUGAGUGGGAUCGGCUAUAUGAAUCUUAGAACAAACAAUAAAAUAAAAAAUAAAAAAUAUAUUAUUUAUGGAGUGAGUAGAAUGACAUGAGAGAGUGGGGAGAGGUGCCAAGAGAGAGGAGAAAAAAAGUUGAUGUGGAUGGGUGAGGUGAAUAUGUGAAAGUAGGGGUGGUUCGGUAUGGGAUCCCAACCUGAAAAUAGGAUCUCAAAUCCCAAACCAAAAAUUUUCGAAAUGAGAAUUUGAAGACCAAUCCUAAACCGAAAUUUAGGUAUUCUUAAUUUUCUGGAUUCUCGAAAUGUUUUCGGUAUUUCGGGAUGGAUCGAGAUUGCAUUUUGGGUUUUGGGCAUAAAUUUGAGAGUUUUAGGUUGUUGGCUAAAAUUUGGGCCUUUGGCUUAAAAUUUUAUUGUCAAUUUCAUAUCAAUUGAAAUUUAGGCUUUUACCUAUUACCAAUUUGAAAUUUCUGACCAAUUGAAAUACCAAAUCAUUCUUACCAAGUCAAAUUGAUGUUCUAAAGUUCCAAACUACUUAAUUUUAUACUUCUAUUUCUAAUAUAGUCUACUCACAAAUUACUUAAAUUCAACAUUCAACAUCCAUGCAACCAAAAUAAACAUACAAACUCCAUGGGAAUUUGCGUCAACCUAGGUCAGCUGGCCUUCUUCGCGGUUUUGGGGGUGGCAUCUUCGCCUAAGCUUGUCCCUUUUUGAACCCUGGUGGACAGGCCUAUUAGGAUUGAGCUGACCGGCCCAAUAAAAAAUUGGUUGGAGACCAAACCAAGUCACUAAUUUUUAUUCCUAUCUACACAACAUUUGAAUCUAUAAAUUCAACAUUCUACAUGUACCAUGCAUUACCAAAAUAAACAUACUAAAUUUUUUUUUGGUCGGAUUCCCUAACCAUUGAAUAUGUAAUCCCGAUUUCCAUACCAAAAGGUUUAGGAUCGGUUCGGUAUUGAUCCCAAAAAUUUCCGUAUUAUCGGUAUGGAAAUUCUUUGAUAUGGGAUCGGGAUUUUUUGUUUGGUUUGAGAUUUUUGGGAAAAUUUUCCAACCCUAUGUGAAAGAGGAAAGAGAGAGGGGUUAAGAAUGGUGGAAUGAGGAUGGGAGGGAGUGUGUGUGUGUGUGUGCGCGUGAUGUAAAGCGAUGCGUAGGACCCGCGAGUCAAUAUUUGUUUUUUUUUUUGUUAUUAUGUUAAACUUUUGUCUUUUUUUAUUAAAAUUUAAAUCCUUUUCAUUAAAGCUCCCAAAUUUUAAACUGUAUCGCGUUGUAAUUAAGCACAACACCAUGCCUACUAUUGUCGCUGCUACUCUGAAGUGUCGCAAUGGUGAAGGUAUAGGAGGAAAGUUCUGCACACAAGGUGAAAUGAGGGAUUAUAGGUUCUACAUAUAGCUCUACAUCUAACUCCACUGUGCCUAGUGGGCUGAAAUUGAAUGAAUUAAAUUAUCCUUUUUGGUCCAAGAUAUUGGAGACGCAUAUUGCAAGUCGUGGUAAGAAGUGGUUCUUGAUGGGGAGCGUUAAGGAACCUAGUGAAGGGAGCGCUGAAUUCGAGAUGUGGGAGACUAGGAACGCUAUUGUAAAAGAAUGGUUGAUUAAUUCCAUGGAGCCAACUAUCACGAGGUUUUUCAUUCAUCUUCGGACUGCAAAAGAAUGUAGGAGGAGGUUGCUAGAACUUACUACGAUGGCUUCAAUAUAUCUCAUAUUUAUGAGUUGAAGGUGAAGGUUUUCAAACUUCGUUAAGAACGACGUCUAGUUGUUGUGUACUAUGCUGCCAUCAAGUCUGUGUGGCAAAAGUUGGAUCAACGAAGGCCAAUCAAGAUUGAGUGUGCGAAAGUUGGAUCAACUGGACUGUGUGUAAGCAUUCUUUUCAGGGCUGGAAGAUGUAUUCGACAAGGUUAUGAGUAAUAUCCUUCGGACUCAACCUUUGCCGUCAGUCGAGGAAGUAUUUUCUAUUGUCCAACGUGAAGCACAUCGACAAUCCACCAUGAUAGGUGGAAGGAUUACCAGUAGCGAAGGAGGAGGAGGAGGAGUCGUGGCCAUGGUGUGUCGGCCAAUCGCAACAAAUCGCCGGAAUAGACCUUUAAAUGAUUAGAUUUUAGUAUGUCACUGACAAUUGAUUGGUACCACCCCUACAAAAACAAAAUACAUUACAAGAUGAAAGGCUUCUGUCAUUAACUGUUUUGUAGGAUUUCAUCGGCCAAAAUUUGUAGUUGAACUUUUGCCCGACAAAUUAUAAAACUUCAUUAGGCAAGUACUGUUUACCUAACAAAAAAUGUAUGUCGAGCAAAGUGCGUUGACCAACUUAGCCCAACAAAUCUAACUGCCCAAUGCUAGUAUUUUUGUCGGGUUUCCGGAAUAAAAAAUAAAAUGAAUUUGCCCUGACGAAGAAGUCGUCUGGCGAGGAUUUUAAAGAGAAAAAAAUAAAAAAAUACAUGCUACAUGCUGGACAAUAGUAUUUGUCGGGCAAAGUUUUAAUUUUUUUUUAAAAAAUAAAUUAGUUUGUUUUAAUUAUAUUAAUUUAAAAAAUCACAAUACAAAAAAAAUUAUUUAAUUAAAUUAAAACUGAAAUAUUGGUACAAACGUAUAUAUGUAAAAUAUCCCAAACUAACAACUCCUGGGGCUAUGGCUGAAGAAGGUAGACAUGGCAAUAGUGUUGUGUUUGUGACAUACCCAAAUAUCUAAAUGGAUCGUAUCAUGUCAAACCCGUUAAAAUGGACAUGUUAUAUGACUUGACGCGAACUUGUCGCGUUAAAAUUAAUGAGUGAUAUGGCCUGACCCGUUAUUCGUUAAAGAAAACAUAUUUUACUUCAAUAAAUAAUCAAAUGAAAAGCGUCAUACUAAAUUAGUAUCUACAUACCACAUUAUCAUUAAAUUAGUAUCUGCAUACCCUAAACUCUAACCCUAAAAAUUCAAACAACGAUGUAACCAUCGUCAAAGCUUAAAGGAUGCGAUCACAAGCGUUGGCAUAAUUUUUUCCACAUUUUUUGCACUUGGAAAUUGACUGCUAUGAAUUUUCAAUUCCACCUAAAAAAUGGUUCACGAGGGUUUGAAGGGUUUAAAAUCCAAUUGGUGAUGUACCCAUCGUCAAAGCAUAGAGGAUGCGAUCAUCAUUGUUCACAUAUAAGUUAAUUAGUAUGAACUUUUUCAUGUGAUUAUUGCAUGCACUACACUUGGACGAUGGUAACUCCAAAAUAUCCAAACCCUCAUGGAUAUUGUUUUUUGUUUAACUCCAAAAUAUACAAACGCUUGUAGUGACCAUGCACGGAUUAUCUUUGUAAUCUGCACUGUACUGCUGUAAUCUGUGAAAAAUAAAAUAAAAACGAAAAUUAAAUUUUUUUUAUAUGUAUAAACAGCAAUAACUAAUUGAAAAUCUGAUUAGUAGGAAUUAUUUUAAAUAAUCCCCGGCAACGACAUCAUUUUCUUGAUAGGGAUUUUACUACUCAUGCGAACGAGCUAAAAACUCCUAUUAUACUUGCAAGAAUCACAAGGUUGUUGUAGUAUAAACGGAUCUCGCAAGGUCAUUCUCUACAUGGAUUAUUAAAUAAUUCGAAACAAAUCAAAUUUCAACUAAUUAUUGUAAAGUAGAAAUUGAAGUGAUUGAUUUUAUAACCUACUUAAAAUAAAAACGAAAUUAAUUAAUUAAAGAUAAGACAAUCUGCAAUACUAAAACUAGAGGGAAAAGAAAAUAGUUUUGGGAGAAAUCAAAUAAAGAAAGCACUAGGGUUCCACCAUCACCUAGCAAUCCUAUGAAUUUUUACCAAUUACUUAUGAUCUACACAUGCCACUUUGAAGGUUAGGUUUUCCUAAUUUAUAUUCUACUUGGAACGUCUAACAUAGAACGUAUAUCUAACUUGCAACCCGUCCGGACGUUCGGAUCAAAUCUGAACAUGAAAGACUCAUUAUGCUUUAUGAAAACCCUUUGAAAAACCAUGCAACCCUUAAGACGUGGUAUUCAUCCCAAGUGAAAUUACAAUUAUUAAUCACAAAAAGCCAGCAUCAAUUUCAGGGAACCUUCUGACCAAAAUUGCAUCAAAUUACUUUUCUAAAGAUCCUAAUGGUGAUCAGGCAUUAAGACAAUUAGAUAGUUUUUAUCCCGGUGAUUAACAAUUCAAAGUAUGCAUGCAAUCAAUCAUAAGCAAUUAAAUAAAAAUCACAUAUUCAUGCUAAGGCUCAAGGCUUCGCCCUAGCAAAAGAAAUUAGUUACACAUAUUCAUAAUUGAAAUCAUAGAAAAUAUUAUUAAGAAAAUGAUUGAAAACACCUUCAAGUAGAAAAUCUCCAAAACCCUAGCAACUCUCUUUCUCCAAAAUUGCACAAAAUAAAGCGUCGUGAAAUAUGGUAGACUUGCUCCAGAGGAAGUCGAAAGUCCUAUAUUGAAAACACAAUUCAAAGUAUCAAAAUUCUUCCAAAAUAUUAACCAAAAUAUACUAAGAUUAGGGUAAAUUAUAUAAUAUAAAAUCUACUCAUCAGUCAACUCUGAAAUUCAACACCAUCCUUAACCCUAGAUUUAUAUUUAAUCGUCAAUUGUUGUUUACGUUUAUACUCCAUUCUUCUCACUAGAGUUCCUUUUUCAUAUUUUGGCUUUCUUUUUUUUUAUUAAAAAAAAAAAAGAAGAUCUUUUAGCAGAUGCAGAAAGAUGAACGGUUCGAUUGUUUAGAUUUUUACAAUUUGUGAAAAUAUUGCUCAGAAUUUACAACAUUGACUCAUAUUCCAGUUAACUAUAAAUAUUGAAAUGUGAUGUCAACUAUUCGAACCGUUCACCUUUAUGCAUCCACUAAAAGAUCAAGUUUUCAAAAAAGAAAAUUUGAAAAAAAAUAAAAUCUGGUGAGAAGAAUAGAGCGUAAAUGUGAACGACAAUCGACAGUUAAUAUAAAUCUAGUGUUUAUGGAUUGUGGCAUUGAAUUCGGAGUUGACCCCUUCACGAAAGUUGUAGAGCUUGUCAUUACGAGCAUUUGUAUAUUUAUUUUACAUUUUUCACACUUGUAUUGUUAUGAAUUUUUAUUAAUUUUGCACUCAAACAAAAAACACUAUUCAUGAGGGGUUGGAGGUUUUAAAAACCCAAACGAUGAUAUAACUAUCAUCCAAGUGCAGAGGAUGCAAUCACGAGUGUUUGUACAUUUUUUUUUUUACAUUUUUCACACUUGUACAUUAACUAUUAUGAUUUUUUAUUUAUUUUGAACUCCUCUAAAAACAUUGUUCAUGAGGGUUUGGAGGGUUUAAAAAAUUCAAACGACGUAUGCUUCGUCCAAAGCUUAUAUGAUGCAAUCAUGACCAUUGUUAUAUUUUUUUUCACACUUGUAUGUUAAUUAUUAUGAAUUUUUAUUUAUUUUGAACACCAUGUAAAGAUAUUGUUCACGAGGGUUGGGAGGGUUUUAAAAAGUCAAAUAAUGAUGUACUCAUCAUUAAAGCAUACAGAAUGCUGACACAUCCCGACCCGGAAUGUCCAUUAGAACUCCGAAUGGAGCUGUGUUGGCCGACACCUGGAAGGUGACGAAGCCAUAAUGUGUAGUGAUGUGGAAAAUGUGAAUAAAUUUAAACCUAAAAGUGCCUAAAUAUAAGAGUGCACUGUGAGCGGGAAUGAACCCAUUUCACACGUGAUGUCAGAGCAUAAGUAAAGUACAGUAGAGUGGAUUGAGAAUCAUACCAUCGAAGGUAAUCUCCAAUACCAAGAUUUGCCUUGAAUCCUUGUCAAUAAGAAAGUUCAGUAAUUAAAACUUGGAGGGGCGAAAAACUAGGGUGAGUGGGCCUAAAAAUAAAGUUUUAUAAAAACUUUAUGAAAACAUUGUAACCCCUUGUAGUAAAAUAAGUAUAGUUUCCAAAAUAUUCUUACUAUGUAUGGUAUAAAAAUACUUAUCAGACCCUGUAAAAUCUCCAGAAUUUGUUACAAUUCUCGUAAGGGUAGGACAUCCAAAAUCACAAAAUCUCAACAAUAAUAUAAGUAAAAUCAGGUGCUCAUCAAUCUAUGCUAGCACACAAGUCAAAGUCGCCUAAUGUAACCAGUACGACUGAACUAAUGCUCACCAAUUUAUGCUUGCACACAAGUCGGAAUCGCCUAAUGCGACCUGUACGACACGACUGGGUGUUGAUAGGGUUAAAAGCACACCACAAAGUAGCACACAAAUGCCCUAUUGAUUUUCCUUAUUAACACUAAGAUUUGUCAAUUGUAGCAUAUGAAAAUAAGGGUCUUUCCAGCAGAAAAUUGUUUUAUCUAACUACUUAAAAUGUCACAAAAACUGGUUGUUGUCCUUACUGACCAGCCACUGAAAAAUAAUUAUUAGACAGACUUACACUUAUCUAAAGUCUACGAAAUUUUAUUUGAACAUACUAGACACACAGAGCUACACUCACACAAAUGUUUAGGAUUUUUGGAGUUGAUUUUCUAUUUAAAUUAAAUCGAACAAAAACAGGACAGAAACAAAUUUUAAGUAGUUCACAAAUUAAGAAAAAUGAGUUAGGGGAAUUGCUAUCCACCACCAAAUAAUCAUGCAAACAUGUUAUGUUUCAUUCAAAUUCCUUUUAUUUUAGGAUGAAGAUGCUCAAGUUGGCUCAAUGUUAGAACUCAACCUAUUACUCUUUCUUAUGUAGUAUGUUAAGAGAAUGAUGUUUUCAACUUAACUUAGUCCCUAGCAUGCAAUCUAGAAUGGUGUGUUCAUAGAUUUAACAAGUAGAAAUCAUUAAGAACGAAAAGAGUUUGAGUCAUCACAAGGCAUCUUAGUUACUGGCGUUGUCUUACUUAUCUUAGAAAUUGGUUCACAUGUUAAUCACAAUUAACAAGUACUACUCUAGAACAUAUGUAGGUCCUCAUCGACAAGGGCAGACACACACAUAUUCAUAGUGUUAGAAUCCUAGAUAUGCUUACUACGUAUGCAUCCAUAGAAAACAAAUAAAGAAUUCAUCAAUGAGACAAGUAGUGAACCAAUUUUAAUACAUUCAUAAAAGUAAUUCAAACAAAAUGUCAUAACAAACUUGCAAUCAUAUUCGGGGCUUCAAAACAGCCCCCAACUACUAAAAAUGUAGAUACACAUUAUUAUCAAAUAAAACCAAAAGAAAGACAUGAGUUUGAGAAGAUAAAACUGAGAGGAGAGAAUGCCAAGAUUUCCUCCCCCCUUUCCUUCCUUUCCGCAAAGCUGCCUUGUCCUCUUUCUUUUCUAUUUUUUUUCCUUUCUCUUCUUUUUCCAACCCUGCAACCUACACCCUUUUCCCUUUUUAAUUUGCUGCCCCAUUUUAUUCUCCUUAACUCACCCACUAACAGCCAUUUAGUGAUGACAAUAAGUGAGAGGAAAUGGUAAAACAAUUGUAACUCUUUGAGUAGCCUUUAUGCCCAUCACUCCCACUUAAUUCUCAUCUUUAUUUCCAUUUCCUCUUAUAGGUAUCAGCUGACUUGUUCUUGGCUGCAUCAGUUUUGGUUGCUAGAUUUAUUGGGUUUAUUUUCAUUGCAGUUACAAACUGCUCAGUCUCUUGUGAAUCUUUCAGUGUUAAAACGGCCAUAAUGUCUUCUAAAAAAGUGAUAUUAACAAUCCACGAAAUGCUCCAGAAAAUAGACAUCCGUAGAUUUCCAAGAAUAUAAGGCUCAUUCUCUAAAUCAUUUUGAUCUGUUCACAACUUGCUUCCAAAUUCAGCUGACCUGCACAGGCAGUUUUGACGAAUUUGUUAUUUAAAAUCUCACUUGUGCUAUUUUUCUUUUCUUUGCUUGACAAAUCCUAGAAAACACAAAAAUAAAGUAAAUAGCUCAAAAAUAUAAGGAUCCUUGUGUGUGAAAUUCAGCUAACCUUUCUAACAUUUGAUCAAUGAAUGGGACUGGAAAGUGAUCCUUGCGUGUGGUGAUGUUUAUCUUCCGAUAGUCUGUACAAACUCUCCAACUAUUUUCCACACGUGUAGGCACUAGCUUAUUAGCUUCAUUCUUAACAGCUAUUACUCCGGAUCGCUUCGAAACUACUUGAACAGGGCUCACCCACUUGCUAUCCAAGAUAGGAUAUAUGAUGCCAACAUCAAGAAGUUUGAUAACCUCUUUCUUGACGACCUCCAUCAUGAGUGGGUUCAAACAGCGUUGAGCUUCCCUUAUUGGUUUUGCACCUUCCUCCAACAGAAUCCUAUGCAUACAUGUAGCUAGAUUUAUACCUUUAAUAUUUGCAAUGCUUCAACCUAUGGCAGUUUUCUGAUCCUUCAGUACCCGAAUCAGUUUCUCCCUCUCUUCUGAUGUGAGUUGUGAUGAUAUGACGACCGGUAAUGUUUCAACCUCUCCUAAAAAUGCAUACUUCAGAUGUUCAGGAAUCGGUUUAAGCUCUAAUUUGGGUGCCUGAAUCAUAGAAGGAAGAGUUUUUUUGUUAGAAGUAGGAAGAGAAAUAAAAUAGGAAGAAGACUUACCACGAAUUGGUGGAAAUGACUCAAGGGCUGCCACUGUCUGGAUUAACUCUUAUUCACUGUGCUCGAAAUAAUUAAGAUGUCCAUGUGUAAUGCUAUGAAUUAAUGCCUUUUCUAAAUUAUCUUGUCCCACACCUUCAUUAAAACAAUCCUGCACAAAAUUGUCGAACACAUCAAUAGAGAAAGAAGAUUCAAAAUCACUAGGAUACCUCAUAGCAUUGAAGAUUCUGAACUUGACGCUUUCUCCAUCAAUUUCCAUAGUUAAGGUACCAUCAUAGACAUCAAUCUUCGUACGUGCCGUUCUAAGGAAUUGUCUUCCCAAUAUAAAAGGAAGUGCAGUAGGCAUAAGGUCAUGUUCCAUCUCAAGUAAAAAAAAAAAUCAGCUGGAAAAAUGAGCUCAUUCACUUGCACAAGUACAUCCUCCAAUAAGCCUUUGGGAUAUCUAUUUGAACGAUCUGCCAACUGAAUUACUACCCUUGUUUCCUUCAAGUCUCCAAGGUUCAAUGAUUCAUACACUGAGUAUGGCAUCAAAUUAAUGGAUGCACCCAAAUCACACAAUGUUCUCCCAAGCUCUUUCGCUCCGAUUACACAUGGAAUGGUAAAACUACCGGCAUCUUUCAACUUUGGUGGCAGCUUCCUCUGCAAAAUAGAUGACACUUCCCCGCUUAAAGCAACAGUUUCUUGAUCAUUGAAUCUCCUCUUUUUCGUACAAAGCUCUUUAAGGAACUUUGCAUACUUGGGCACUUGUUUUAUGGCAUCUAAAAGAGGUAAGUUCACUUGGACUUUCCAAAAAGUAUCCAAGAUUCCCUUAUCAGUUUGCUCUUUCUUAGACUUCAUAAACCUACGAGGAAAAAGAACAGGGACACAUGAGUUGAAUGAAUUUCGAGCUUCUUUACUUACCUUCUUAGAAUCUUUUGUGUUCAAUUCUGUAGCUUUAGGAGACUUUUUUAGUUUCUGUUGAAGCCUCAUCUUGCUCAAGAUUCUUGGUUUCUAGCUUCCCUUGCUCAUUUGUAUCUUUUUUAGUCCUCUUUUGCAUCCUUGACUACUCAAAAACUUCUUUUCCACUCUUUAAAGUCACAACAUACAUCAGCUCUGUAUUUGGAUUCACCACGGUCUAGCUAGGCAACCUUCCUAGUUGGUGUUGUUGCCCCAUCAAACUUGCUAACUGACUCAUUUGGUGAUCAAGGUUUUUAAUUGCUUUGUCUGUUUUCUGUUGAUGAUAUUAAGUAGAGUUAGCUAAAGAAGCAAUUAAAUCCUCAAUAGACUUACUUGGAGCUUGUUGUUGUUGAGGCUGAAAUGGUGUCUGGGAUCUUGCUUGAAAGAAGCCAAGUGGACGGUUAUAGUUGUUGGGAACAUAUUGUUGUCCGUCGUCUUGAUUGUUCCACUUUAAGUGUGGAUGAUCGCGCCACCCUGCAUUAUAGUUGUUGGAGUAUGGAUCAUACUUUUGCCUUUGUUGCCCCUGAAACCCUCAUAACGCAUUAGCUUGCUCAAAACCACCUUGAUCCAUCAAUGAAGGGCAUAUGUCCGUGGCAUGUCCCAUCAUUGAACAUACACCGCACACCUGUUUUGGAGCCACCAUAACCUGUUGCACAAGAUUAGUCAAGUUAACUAAUUGUAAUUCAAUACUAGAAUUAGCACUUACCUCAUUAACUUUCUUAAGAGGUAGCUCAUCUCUCCCUCCAAAUUGUCGUGUGUUGCCAGCAAUGUUCUUUAAUAAUGUCUUAGCAUUUGUUGGUGUCUUGUCCAUGAAUGCUCAUCCACUUGCUGCAUCAAGCAUUACACGAUCAGUACCACACAAUCCUUCAUAAAAAUAUUGUAUUAAAAGAUGCUAUGAAAUCUGAUGAUUAGGACAAGAUGCAACCAAAUGUGUGAAUGGCUCAUAGUAAUCUCCAAAGGGCUCACCAUGUUGUUGUCGGAUUUCACAUAUGCCUUUCCUUAUGCUUGCAGCUUUUGUGGCCGGAAAAUAUUGCUCCAAGAAUGCUUGCUUCACCUGGUUCCAUGUGUUUAUUGAUCUCGGAGGUAAAUUGUAAAGCCACUCCUUUGCCUUAGCUUUUAAUGUAAAUGGGAAUGCCCUCAACUUGACUUGCUCCUUAUCCACAUUUGCUGGUCUCAUUCCCGAGCAUACCACAUGAAACUCCAUGAGAUACUUGUUGGCAUCCUCUGUUGAUAAGCCAUGGAACUUAGGCAAGUAGUGAAUCAUGCCGGACUUGAGCUUAAAUCCUCCUUCUACAUUUGGAUAUGUGAUGCACAAUGGUUGUUGAUCUGUAUUUGGCAUUGCCAACUCCCUCAAAGUACGGUUAUCAGUCAUGCCUUCUUGUGGUUCUUCCUCCUCUUCCAAACUCAAAUGUGGUGGAGAAGAUGGUGGUAAAGACAAUGAUGCACGCUUCUGCUUGAUUUUUCUCUGAAGCUUUUGAAGUGUUCGUUCCAACUCAGGAUCGUAGGAAGCAAGAUCAAUGCUCUUGGACCUUCGAGUAUGCAUAUAUUACGAAGAGUACCUGAAAUAAAAACAAAAACAAAAGCACUAAUUAGGCAAGAAAAAAAAACAAUAGAAAAAUAAGUAAUUAGAAAUAAUAAUCCCAUGCGACACGGCGCCAAAAAUUUGAUAGGAUUAAAAGCACACCACAAAGUAGCACACAAAUGUCCUAUUGAUUUUCCUUAUUAAUACUAAGAUUUGUCAAUUGUAGCAUAUGAAAAUAAGGGUCUUUCCCGCAGACGAUUAUUUUAUCUAACUACUUAAAAUGUCACAAAAACUGGCUGUUGUCCCUACUCACCAGCCACCGAAAAAUAAUUAUUAGACUGACUUACACUUAUCUAAAGUCUACGAAAUUUUAUAUGAACACACUAGACAUAAAAGCUACACUCAGACAAAUGUUUAGAAUUUUUGGAGUUGAUUUGCUAUUUAAAUUAAAUCGAACAAAAACAGGACACAAACAAAUAUUAAGUAGUUCACAAAUUAAGAAAAAUGAUUUAGGGGAAAGAAAGAAAGAAUGCCAAGAAAGAAAAAACUGAGAAAGAAAAAACCGAGAAGAUAAAACCGAGAGGAGAGACAUGAGUUUGAGAAGAUAAAACCGAGAGGAGAGAAUGCCAAAAUUUCCUACUUCCUUUCCGCAAAGCUGCCUUGUCCUCUUUCUUUUCUAUUUUUUUUUUUUCCUUUCUCUUCUUUUUCCAACCCUGCAACCUGCACCCUUUUCCCUUUUUAAUUUGCUGCCCCAUUUUAUUCUCCUUAACUCACCCACUAACAGCCAUUUAGUGAUGACAAUAAGUGAGAGGAAAUGGUAAAACAAUUGUAACUCUUUGGGUAGCCUUUAUGCCCAUCACUCCCACUUAAUUCUCAUCUUUAUUUCCAAUUCCUCUGAUAGGUAUCAACUGACUUGUUCUUGGCUGCAUCAGUUUUGGUUGCUAGAUUUAUUGGGUUUAUUGCUUUCAUUGCAGUUACAAACUGCUCAGUCUCUUGUAAACCUUUAAGUGUUAAAACGGCCAUAACUUCUUCUACAAAAAUGAUAGUAACAAUCCGCGAAAUGCUCCAGAAAAUAGACAUCCGUAGCUUUUGAAGCAUAUAAGGCUCAUUCUCUAAUUCAUUUUGAUCUGUUCACAACUUGCUUCCAAAUUCAGCUGACUUGCACAGGCAGUUUUGAUGAAUUUGUUACUUAAAAUCUCACUUGUGCUAUUUUUCUUUUCUUUGCUUGACAAAUCCUAGAAAACACAAAAACAAAGUAUAUAGCUCAAAAAUAUAAGGAACUAACUAAGAAAAGACAAGUGAAGUUGAUGUAAAAUAUAUAUAAAUAUGAGUUUAUCAUGUGUAAUCAUAAUAUACGCUCUAGUGCUACAAUCACGUGAAGACUGAUGCUAUUUGCGGUCACCUACGAGUCGGAGUUGCCUAAUGCAACCUGCACAUCACGACUUGCACCUACUUGGAUCCAAGGUGAGCGUAUGGUGCGGAGGUGAAUAUACACGUGAAAGAUUGGCCCUGGCCCUGGGUAAGCACUGCAACAAUGAUGAGCAUACUACAUAAAUAUAAGCAUGCCACAUUGAUUCGAUAGUUCUAAUCAACAUACUAACAUUCAUAGCCAUACAUAUAAUUAUGACAUCAAAGAUUAUAAGCAUACCUAUGCAUCCUGUAGUAUGUAGCAUAUUUCAUAAAUUUCAUCAUUUCGCUAAUUCUUAUAAACUUUAGUCUAAUCCAAGCGUACGUAAGACAUUCUUUUUCAAAUGCAUCAAUGGAAACUAUCAAUCAUAUAUAUAUACACACUAUAAAAAAGAAAGAGACCCACUCACCUGAAGUCCGCGCUACAACUCCCUAGCACGAAUAUCGAGGCAUCAUAAAUGAUCAUCGCCUAGAACAAAUAUCAAAUCACGUCUCAGAAUUCUUAUGAAAAGAACACAUAACUUAUGUAAAACACAUCCCCAAGGACAUUCUAGAAUGAUUUGAAACCCAUUGACCAAAAGUCAACUGCCAGUCGAAGGUCCACGUUAGGGUCCACAACCCUAUGUAAAUUGAUCCGGAAGAUCCACACCUUGGAUUUCCAAUCUGUAACUUCCCAAGAGUUUCAAUAAGCUUCUAGAACAACAUCCUAAAGUUUCGGGAUCCAACAAUCAUAUCUCCGCCAAUCGUUAAAAUUAAGUGGUUGCCGAUGUUUAGAUUUACAAACAUACAAAUCCAAUUCAGGAAGAUCCGUAUGUCAAAUUCCUAAUCCGUAAGUUUCUAUGGUCCUCAAAUAUUACGUAUUAAAUUUGGUGACGAUCAAAAGGUCAGAUCGUCAAAUCAUAUAAUAACCAAGUGGCAACCCUUAACGGAAAUAUAACCAAACAACAGAAUGUCGUCAAUCGGAUGUCUAAUAUGAAAUUGGGGAACCCAUUUUAACAUAGGGAGGUCAAGUGGUGCCAUUUCCCACAUGCCGCCGCCGCGCGCGGUGGUCGGCAGCCCCGACUCGUCGGAAAAUUCAACUAAUUCCAAAAAUUCUCAAAUUUUAUCAGAAUGAAGAUCUCAAUGAGUAGAGCAAGUUUUAUACUUGUGGCCAAGUCUAAUUUGGUCAGCAAAAGCUCCAAUUUCCAUUGACUCGCUAGAACCUUAUAAAUGAAUGUUCUUCAAUUUGACCUCAAAACGUACUCCGACGCCUCAACCACUAUUUGCGCUUUGUUCCUAAGGUGGAAGGGAGUAUUUUGGUAAUGGUAAUCGAUAGAGUCACCUUCAGGAUUCACAGAUUGCCGUCGUGGAACCACCAUACCCACCAGUGCAGUUCUUUAUGGAACCGAGCCAAAUUCUAUAAAUCUUGGUGUAGAAAAGGUAAAGGGAGGUCGUGGAGUGAUUUUAGGGUGUUAGAUGGUGUCAAACUCGCCGGAAACCCAUUGGAAUCAUCGCAGGAAGUCGAGUCAAGGAAAACGGGUCAAGGGGGAAUGACUGGGUUCAUCUCUUUCUCUCUUCCCUCAUUUCCCUCCUUUCUUACAUCUUUGGUUGGUCACUCUAUCUUUCUCUUCUUUUCCGAUUGGUUGGUCUCUUCUCUGCCUUUCCUCGAUUGGCAGCACCCCUCUCUUUUUCUCUUCUCUUCUUCCGUCCACCAUUUCCCUUCCAAAAAAAAUAAAAUUAUAAUAAUAAAAAACUAUGAGAGAUAUAUAAAAUAAUAAAUAGUAAUUUUUUACAAAAGUACUUUUCGAAUUUGUAGUUCCAUAAAAUUUUAACCGUAGCUUCGAAUUCGAUUAUGCUUGCACCUACACGUUCGUAUCUUUGAGUACUUCAAGAAUACACUAAAAGAAUAUUUCGAAUGUCUCACUAUAUGUUGAUCAACGAAAGUCAAUGAUCUCGCCUCUAAAGGCAUUUUCAUCAAUUCACUCAUUUAAAAUUUAUAAAAACAUAAAAUUAGGGAUAUGUUUUCACAAUCUACCCACCUUAAAAAAAUUUAGUCCCCGAAAUUUAAAAUAAUUUGUUAUACAUAAAAUAAUCAAGAUAGAAAGAAAAUAUAUAAAGAAGAAAUCAAGCUAGAGCGGUUGCAUAAAAGUGAAUGCCAUUUUGUUGCAAUCAGAGUGCAGUGAUUCCUCUUUCAUGCCUCCAAACUCAAACUUGCAUUCUCCUUCAAUGCAAUAUUACAAUAUAAAAUCCUUUAUGAACACAUCAAAUCAACAAUAUAUAUAGUAACAUAUCAUCAAAAUACGUAUAUAAUAAAAUGAAGUUAAAAUAAUGGCAUCGAAAUCGAAAUUGAAAAUAGAAAAAUUUUCACCCAUGCAUUCAUAGUAUCACGUACUCCGAAGGUAAGCGUGUAAUAUCUUUGGGUCAAGCCCAAACAAUAAAUAACUAGUUAAAUAAUCAAUAAAAAUACUAACGUAAAAGGACCUACUAGUCCACUUGCUUAACAACACAACAAAUAAGUUAUUGAUGUUACAGUCUAUAGCCCGUAAUACCGACAACUUACUAUUGCCUCGAUAAGCAAGUAAUAAAUUCUUGAGGGUGAAAUAUUACCAUCAUGCCCUUCAUUGGGAAAUACACAUACAUCAUUUGAUCAAAGCCUCGAUCGUUCUCAUGCACUACCCUCACGGAUAACAUCAACAAUAUUAAUAAGUUUUCUAUAUCAUAAUCUCGAUCAUUCAAAUACAUGUUCGCAAUACUCAUCUGUCAAACAUGUUCCGUGAGUAAAAUCUGUAUACCAAGGUUCAAACAAUACCAUAGCCAAACCAGAAAUGUAACCACAGUUACACAUAACUCUAACAAAGGUAAGUAUCUACCAUAAUUGGCUACAACAAUAAAACAUUCAAAAGCAAUAUGUCUUCUAAGGUCCAGAUAGUUCAGUCAAACUAGCCGUUAGUCUGAGGGUGAAACGUGGUAUUAGACCAAAAACUUAGUAUGCAUGGCCUUUAAGAAGACUUAAACUUGAAAAUGAAACACGUAUCACUGUGAGGUACAGUAGUGACCUGCACCCCAUAUAGCCGAACCAUGUAGUCUACAACGCCAUAAUGAACAGAUUCACAUUGAAUUUCUCUCGAAUUUAGCGAAGAACUAUGUAGAGAAGACUAAAAGAACAAUCAAGGAUUUGAGAGUCGAAACAAAUCCAUCAAAUCUAAAAUACAAGGUAACUGGAUUAAAUGUAUUACAUAUCGCUACAAUGGCAGCUUCUGGAACAUUCAACCACCAAUGAUAAGAUUCGUUCAAUAGAAUAUUUGUAGGGUGAUUGAAGCAUUAAAUGUCAAAUCUAAAAAUUUAAUGUUUGAGCAAUUCACCUAAACGGUCUGUUCGCUUCAAAAUUAAUACAAAGUGCAAUAGGGUAGACAUGUACUCAAGGUUAACUAGAAUGUCUUCCAGAACAAGAAGCGAAUAUGGACUACAAUCAGAGUAGAUGCUGCUCAAAAUGUCAAAAAAUCUGAUAAUUUUGAGAAUGAGGAAUUUUACCAAAUGGUCUAAACGUAGUCCCUCUGGACCAACGGAAAGUAAGCUAACUUGCCAAGUCGGUUGAUAGUCACCGAAACAUCAUCAUAAUCUCCACAUGUACAAAUACCUCGUACGGCCAUACCGGGAGUUUGUGGUGAUAGUUCCCCAUCUCCGAUCGGAUACAAGAAGUGAUUAUAACCAUUCGAACAAUUCUUGAUAAUUCGGAAAUAACGUCAAAUCGAUGCUUGUGAACUCCAACUGAAAUGGGAUAGGAAAGGUUGGAAAUGUUCAAGGGUAAAUAUAUCUUUUGCAGUGAUAAACAAUAACUACUUUUGCACAACCAGGAUGAUGCACGAUAGUGUAAGCGUUGACAUUGUCCUGAUUCUUCCAUCGUCGUAAUCAGAAAUCUAAUUCAUUUCAGAAGAAUAUUUACUUGAGAGGUCUAAGGUUGAUAAAGAUUUUGGAUACAUUUCUCCAUAGAAAAGUGUCAUCCGAUUUUCAAGCAAAGAUGGUAAAUGUUGAUUCUAAGUCAUGAAUAAGAUGGCUUAUUUCAAACGGUUCUACACGUGGGAAAAUAUAAGCAAUAAUCCACCAUGUUGUCUCUACACAGCCAAAACAUCUAAAGAAUACAUCAUCAUAGAUUUAGAAAUGAUCAAUAUCAUUGAAAGGCGUAAAACAGAGGUAAGGUGAGACAACAAUUCGGUUGUUAGAAACUUUAUUCAUAUUCAACAUCUCAACUAAAUUAACCUUCCUCAGUUGAUAAGUGAGGAAAAACACUAUAGCCGAAAAAUUGAUAACAAUUUGUCAAUAACGUCGACAAGACCAAAGGUUGUCUUGAAUUUCACAACACCUUAUGAGAAUUCCAACUUUCUUCCACUACAAUCCUUUUUGGAAAAAGAAAAGAACAUCAUCUACUUAAAUCACGUCUCCCGAGAAAAGUACCAAUUUAAUCAAAGUUGACAGUUGAGGACUUUGGUAUAAAACUGGUUGCCAGUAUUUAAAGAUUUGCUCUCAUUACUAGGGUAGGAGAGAAAGUCAUCGGUAAGACCACGUUGAACUCGACAAGCUUCAAAGAAAAUUCGGAGUUCCAAAACUGUCGGAGUGACCAUCAACUUGAAGUAGGGGUUAACGAUUUUAAUCAUCGCCUGAUUAAGUUGCUUAAGUCUAGGUACAAACCUAGGGUUCAGUCUUUCGCCUUCGUGGAUAGGUUUGAAGUUCCCUAGAUAAAGUGUUUGGUUGGGUAAUUCCCUAAUCAGUAAGCUUUAGUAACUAAGUUCUUCCAAAUGGUAGGAGUUGCUCGAAAAGAUGCAAGAAAACUAGUGUAGUACAAGAAAAUGGAUCAAUAGUGUACUUCACUUCUCCACUUGAGGAUAUCUUAGCUAAAUUUGAGGAUUGAUGCCAAAGAUAUACGUCCUCGAAACGUAUCACACUACUUCCUUCCAAUACGCCACAUGCUAAUAGGCCUUCAUAGCUUUCUCGAUACUCAAUUCACUCUAACAGUGAGAAAUUAACUCGUACUUCGAUUCUACUGUCUACCUGUGGAAGUGAUCGAAAAGGUGACUAGUCGAAGAGGUUUUGUUUACCUAGAUUGGUAAAACAGUUAAUACAACUAUGAGUUUAGAUUAUCCUACAAAAGGGUUUGCUCUUAAGUGUUUACAAUUUAGUUUCUUCGGCUUAGAUAGCCAUUGUUAAUCAGUUUAUCAGCCGCACCACUAAUUAACGCAUAUACGAUACUUUGAUAUUGUUUGUUACCCUGAAACUGUGAACCCACAUUUUGGCAUAAAGGUAUCACUCCCAGAUACUAGCAUGUGUCUGGUAUCAGAAAUCACACAGCUUGAAUACUGGUUGACAGUUCUUGGAUAUCGGACAGUAUUGUCAAUUACUAACACAACCAUAGGCUGAUUACAAGUUAGAACCCGCUCGGGUAGAUGGUUUCAGAUGAAAGGUAAAGAAUUGGUCCUAUAAGGUGGUUUUCAUUAAUUCUAAGGAAAAAUACUUACUACUUCGAGAAUUUCUACUGACCAUAGGUAUAACAACUCUUACACCUAUGCUUAUGCUCGUCGAAAUGACGAGUAUAUCACCAAAAGAAAUUCUGGAAACUAGUUUUGGUUGGUGCGUCCUAAGGCCGAAAAAGAAUUUACUAAUAAUCCACUUUAUAAUGAACUUAAGAGAUUCAAUCUUCCUCCAGAACAUUCGGAACUAUACUAAUACAUUUAAAAAGAUUAGUGUUAUUAGGGACCAAAAGUGGUUGUCCCCCAAAUGUUACCACUUUAGCACCAGGUUGUCGCUCAAGGCAAUUCUGGGAUCUUGACAAAGUAAACUUCGUAGGAAUUUUAUAGAUGAUAUACUAACGGAUGCUGCCAAGGAAUCAAAACUAUUUUUGGUUUCCAUUCUCGAAAGGGUUGGUAUAAAUGACUAGAUGGUAGUGGAAUUGGUAGGUAAAUCCCCCGUAAUGCACAACUAUCGAUAUGGUAGCCCUGCCUUAGGGCCAUGAACUUGUCUCAAAUCUACAUCUUUCCUUGGCAUUCUUCACUUAAAGUUUAGGGACGGUCACCAAAGCGAUGUCUCGAAUGUUAAUAAGUUGCCUAAUCCGCCCAAAACUUAGAAAAACCUAACCAAUUUUUUGUAGUCGAUGAGGUGGCAAAAUUCAACAUUUAGGCUUAACAAUCGAGAAUGCUUACAUCACGUGUGUGAUGAACGCAAUACUGCCCAAAAUUAUGCUCUGAUACCAAACUGACACACCCUAACCCGGAAUGUCCACUAGGACUUCGAAUCGAGUCGUGCUAGCCAACACCUGGAAAGUGACAAAGCCAUAAUGUGUAGUGAUGUGGAAAUGUGAAUAAAUUUAAACCUAAAAGUUCCUAAAUAUAAGAGUGCACUGUGAGCGGGAAUGAAUCCAUUUCACACGUGAUGUCAGAGCAUAAGUAAAGUACAGUAGAGUGGAUUGAGAAUCAUACCAUCGAAGGUAAUCUCCAAUACCAAGAUUUUCCACGAAUCCUCGUCGAUAAGAAAGCUCAGCUAUUAAAACCUGGAGGGGCGAAAAACAAGGGUGAAUGGGCCUGAAAAUAAAGUUUUAUAAAAACCUUUAUGAAAACAUUGUAACCCCUUGCCGUAAAACAAGAAUAGUUUCCAAAAUAUACUUACUACGUAUAAUAUAAAAAUACUUACCGUAGUCUACAAAAUCUUAACAAUUCAUUACGGUACAAUAUCUUGUAACUAAGGGCAGAACAUCUAAAAUCACAAAAUCUCAACAGUAAUAUAAGUAAAAUCAAGUGCUCGUCAAUUUGUGCUAGCACACAAGUCGAAGUCGCCUAAUGCGACUUGUACGACUGAACUGAUGCUCAUCAAUCUAUGUUAGCACAUGAGUCGAAGUUGCCUAAGGCGACAUGUAGAACAAGACUGGGUGUAUCAUAAUAUACACUCUAGUGCUACAAUCACGUGAAGACUAGCGCUAUUUGCGAUCACCUCCGAGUUGGAGUUGCCUAAUGCAAUUUGUACAACAGGACUGGUACCUACUUGGAUCCAAGGCGAGCGUGCGGUGCGAAGGUGAACAUACAAGUGAAACACUGGCCCUGGCCUUAAGCGAGCACUAACACGAGGGUCCAGCAAUGAUGAGCAUACUACAUAAAUAUAAGCAUGGCACAAUGAUUCAAUAGUUUUAAUCAACAUACUAACAUUCAUAGCAGUAGAUAUAAUUAUGGCAUCAAAGAUUAUAAGCAUACAUGUGCAUCCCAUAAGAUGUAUCAUAUUUAAUAUAUUCCAUCAUUUCGCUAAUUCUUAUAAACUUUAGUCUAAUCCAGGCGUAUGUAAGAAGUUCUUUUUCAAAUGCAUCAAUGGAAACUAUCAAUCAUAUAUCAAGGCGUCACGAACAAUUGUCACUCACCUGAAGUCCGCGCUACAACUUCCUAGCACAAAUAUCGAGGCGUCACGAACAAUUGUCGGCUAGAUCAAUAUCAAAUCUCAUCUCAGAAUUCUUAUCAUUAGAAAACGUAACUUACGUAAAACACAUCCCCAAUGACGUUCUAGAAUGAUUUGAAGCACAUUGACCAAAAGUCAAUUGAAGGUCGACGAUAGGGUCCACAACCCUAUAUAACUCGAUCUGGAAGAUCCGCACCUUGGAUUUCUAAUCCGUAACUUCCAAAGAAUUUCAAUAAGCUUCUAGAGCAACAUCCUAAAGUUUUGGAACAAUCCAACAGUCGGAUCUCCGCCAAUAGCUAAAAUUAAGUGGAGACCGACAUUUAGAUUUACAUACUUAAAAAUCCAAUUGUCGAUCCAUAAGUUUCUAUGGUCCUCAAAUAUUAUGUACUAUUACGUAUUAAGGUUUGGUGAUGAUCCAAUGGUCAGAUCGUAUAAUCGUAUAAUAACCAAGUGGCGGCCCUUAACGGAAAUAUAACUAAACAAUAGAAUUUCAUCAAUCAGAUGUCUAAUAUGAAAUCGAGGCACCCAUUUUAGCCUAGGGAGGUCAAGUGAUGUCUCUGCCCACGCGCCACCGCACGCGGCGACCGACUGCCCCAAGUCGCCAGAAAAUUCAACUAAUUCCAAAAAUUCUCAAACUUUAUUAGAAUGAAGAUCUCAAUGAGUAGAGCAAGUUUUAUACCUGUGGCCAAGUCCAAUUUGGCCGGGAAAAGCUCCAAUUUCCCUCGAACUCGUGAGAACCCUAGAAAUGGUUAUGCUUCAAUUCGACCUCAAAACGUACUUCAACACCUCAACCACUGUUUGGGCUUUGUUCCUGAGAUGAAGGGGAGUAUUUUGGUGGUGGUAAUUAACAAAAUCACCUUCGAGAUUUAUGGAUUGUUGUCGUGGAACCAUCACACCCGCCGGUACGGUUCUUCACGGAACCGAGACAAAUUCUAUAAAUCUUGGGGUGGAAUAGGUAAAGGGAGGUCAUGGAGUGAUGUUGGGGUGUUAGAUGGUGUCAAACUCACCGGAAAACCGUCAGAAUCAUCGCAAGAAGUCAGGUCGGGGAAAACGAGUCACGGGUCAAGGGGAAAAGAUCGGGUUCCUAUCAUUCUCUCUUCCCUCAUUUCCCUCAUUUCUUCCCUCUCUGGUUGGUCACUCUUUCUUUCUCUUCUUUUUCGAUUGGUUGGUCUCUCCUCUGCCUUUCCCCAAUUCGCAGAACCCCUUUCAUUUCUCUUCUCUUCUUCCGUCCACCAUUUCCCUUUCCUUCAUUUCCCUCAACCAAAAAAAUAAAAUAAUAAUAAUAAAAAACUAUGAGAGAUAUAUAAAAUAAUAAAUAGUAAUUUUUUACAAAAGUACUUCUCGAAUUUGUAGUUCCGUAAAAUUUUAACCGUAACUCCGAAUUCGAUUCCACUUACGCCUACGUGUUCAUAUCGUUGAGUACUUCAAGAAUACGCUAAAAGAAUAUUUCAAACGUCGCACUAUACAUUGGUCAACAAAAGUCAACGAUCUCACCUCUUAGGGCAUUUUCGUCAAUUCACUCGUUUAAAAUUUAUAAAAACAUAAAAUUAGGGACGGGUUAUCACAAUGCGAGCACGAGCGUUUGCAUAUUUUUUUCCACAUUUUUCAAACUUGUAAAUUAAUUAUUAUGAAUUUUUUUAUGUGUGUUUGUACCAUACUUGACCAAUCCCGAAACUACUGAGCACCGGUCAACGUUAUAUCGUCAAGGACCUAGAAGAGUUUCCCUCCAACCAGAAGGCCAAUCACAGCAUGACACGUGUCGACAUCAGAAGCCAAUCAUAAUGCGACACAUGUCAACAUCAGAUAGAAUUAAACUAGAAACUCUCUUCUAUAAAUAGAGAUCAUUCUCUCACAAUAUUUCCUAAUGUCAUUUGUACUAAAUCAUUCACUUGUACUCACUAAAGGAGAGCUUGAACCUAUGUACUUGUGUAAACCCUUCACAAUUAAUGAGAACUCCUCUACUCCGUGGACGUAGCCAAUCUGGGUGAACCACGUACAUCUUGUGUUUGCUUCCCUAUCUCUAUCCAUUUACAUACUUAUCCAUACUAGUGACCGAAGCAAUCUAGCGAAGGUCACAAACUUAACACUUUCUGUUGUACCAAAGUCCUCACUGAUUUUGUGCAUCAACAUUUGGCGUCGUCUGUGGGAACGACACUUAUUCUCACUCUCUUCAGCUUUGUAAAGCUGGUUUCCACCACUCCUACACUCUCUUUUGACCAGGCGUCCCUCUCCAACAUGGGGAGCGAAGGAAGCCACAACACACAGAAUGACACCCCUCUUGCACCUAGUGCGAAGCAACAAAAGAAGGAAGGAAAGAGGGUUGCUCUUCAAGCUAAAGUUGAUGAGCUAGAAUCUCAAAACAACAAGAUAGCAAUGAAGAAUGAGGUCCUCUAAGAGUAGUAUGAGAAGCUCUUUGAGAUGCUCCACGAAACUAGGCGUACUUAAACACGCGAACUCGUUACCCCUAUGGACAUCAACCAUCAUCUAGAUGCCUCUCAACAAGGAGGGUCACCUUCCUUCGACAUAGGUAUCCCUGAUAAGGAGCAAGCUAAUCAUCAAAACAUUGAUCAACAUGAAACUUCUCUCAACCCAGCUGCUUCGACCCUAAGCAGGAGAAGUGGAGAAAGACACCUCAUUGCGGAAAGGUUGGAAGGAUCGAAAGCCGUUUAUCGUGACUGCCGAGACUUCCUAAAGCAACAUCGAGAAAAUCCCUUCCACAUAAGCUCGAAGAUCAAUGACCCAAGGGUUUCUGAAAGACUCAGUCCCCUCCCAUGUCCCAGGCCGGCUACCAAUUUGGGGAAUGGGCAACAAGUCCUACAAAAACAUGAAGGUAUAGGGGACUCAGAGAUGUUUCGACAAACAUACCUUGAAAGUCAGUACGGCGAGUCCAGGGAAAAAUCACAUGUUUUUAAUCAAACCUUCUUACUUCCAAAGGAGAUGGAGAUUUACGAAAGAAAGCUCGAAAGGUACAUGACUCUACUCAGGACCCUCUUGUCCUACAGCUUCUUAAGGAAGUAAACAAGUUGAAGGCCGAACGACAAGCUGAGAUACUUGAUUGGAACCAACCUAGGCCUAGCCCUCUUACAAGGAGGAUCCUCGACACCCCCUCCAAGAAAAGACAAAGUAGAAGCUUGGCUUACAACUCUAUAAUGGAAAGGAAGACCUGAUUGAACACCUUAACCUCUUUGAGUCCACCAUGGCAUACCGAAUGCACACCGACGAAGAGCAAUGUCUUCUCUUCCCCUCCACCUUCUCUGGCGGAGCUCUAAACUGGUAUUGUCGUCUUCCACCUGAGAUGAUAGACUCAUUUGAGGAAUUGAGGAAACUGUUUGUUUCUCAGCAUAUUUUUCAAACUGAUCGCUUGCAUUCUGCAGAUGACUUGUACACUAUUCGCUAGAAGUCGGACGAGUCACUACGAGAGUAUGUCGGUCGCUUCAGCCAUGAGUAUUCUCGCUACGCUGAGGCAGAAGACAGGACCACCCUCAAGGCAUUCACGGCAGGCCUACGUGAUUGUUUCUUCAAGUACAUGAUCAAUGCCAACACUUGGAAGACUUACUCUGAGGUGAUGGCACAGGCUUACAACCAUGCCUCCGCUGAGGCAAGGACGUAUCAAGGGAAACCCCCUACAGCCACCCCUAAUAGCAAGUAGGGAGUGGAAGCCAGAUCUAACCAAAUGAGAAGACCUCGACCUUCCAAACGGCAGCGGUGCCUCCCCCUGCCUUACUUAAUACUUUGCCAGGUCAACAGACAUAUCAAUCUUAGGGUAAAAGGAAAGAUUUCCAUCCUCACCAGUCUCAUUUUAGUGAAAGGAGUAAAGGACACUACCGCGACAACCAAGGGUAUCACCACGAUAAUCCUCGACCCUAGGCAGUCAACACAGUUGGUCAAGCACGUGUCAGGACAGCCCCUACCUUGAGGUAUAAGGUAUACACACCUUUGAACGCCACAUGCGUGGCCCUUUACCCCAGCAUAGCACACCUGAUACCGAAGCCAAAGCCGAGGCACCCGGAUUACAAGUCCACGAAGAACACGGGCACAUUUUGCUGCUACCAUGAGUAUAAUGGCUAUGACGGCGAAAAGUGUAUCACCCUUAGUGAUCAUAUUGAAACUUUGGCACAUGAAGGAAAAAUUGAUCAAUUCCUCCUUCACCCUCUCAGGGGUAACCGUAACCAACGCCAGGUGAAUGUGAUAUAUUCCAUAAGUGGUGGCACACCCAUAUCUAAAUCUUCUAACAGGGCCAUGAAAAAUAGUGAACGAGCUUUAAGGUCUGGCCAUCAAGUGUUUCACGUGGAAGACAUCAGGGGAGGCAAGCAUCAAAAGCCUAAUUGGGAUCCAGUAUGUUUCUACCCUAAGGAAGAAAGAGGUAUCAUCUACUCUCACAACAACCCACUGAUCGUGGAAGCUCACAUAGCCAACUUUGAAAUACGACGAAUCCUGGUAGACACGGGGGCUUCGGUCAAUAUCAUGUUUGCCGAAGCUUUCAGGGCACUUAAUGUAGUUGAACACUUGCUCGAUCGCUCGAUUUCCCCUCUGAUAAGCUUCUCCGGUGAUAUCGUGCAACCUUUGGGGAGAAUACACUUACCCUUCACCAUUGGUACAUGCCCUUACACAACUACCGUUACCACUAACUUCCUGGUGGUUGAUUGCCCAACGGCAUACAAUGUCAUCUUGAAACACACAGGCAUCAAUGAUCUCAAGGCCAUGGUAUCCACACAUAUGUUGUUGAUGAAAUUUCCAACCCCCUAUGGCAAUGGUUAUAUCAGAGGAGAUCAACUUAGUGCACGAUCAUGUUACAACAUUUCGGUCAAGCAACAACACCUAUCUGUGCCCAAGGAAACCCUUUCUAUACAUAACCAAGUCAUAAAGACCAGCCCAGACGAAGCCAACUUAGAUCUUCACGGUGGCAACAGUCAACCCGACGAUCCUCGAGAUGACUCUUUCACCCAGCAAGCACAACCCGCUGAAGAGUUGGAGAAGGUCUCUAUCUCAAAAGAUUAUCCAGAUCGCAUGGUGAAGAUUGGCAUUACCUUGUCACCACCCAUUCGGUUGGCAUUGAUCUUUUUUUUGCAAGAGAACACUGAGGUCUUCGCUUGGUCAUACGAGGACAUGCCAGGCAUCUCUCCCGAUAUCAUCUAUCAUCGCUUAAGUAUUGACCCCAAGACCAAGCUAGUGAGACAAAAGCGAAGAUCCUAUGACGCUGAACGGUACGAGGCAAUGAAGGUAGAAGUUGAAAAACUCAAAGACAUAGGCUUCGUUCGCAAAGUCAAUUAUCCAACGUGGGUAGCAAAUGUUGUCCUUGUUAAGAAGAAUCCGACUAAGGAAAGUCUCCUGCUCCAAAAGGUCUUGUGGAGAAUAUGUGUCGAUUACACCUACCUAAACAAAGGAUGCCCGAAUGAUAGCUUUCCUCCUCCUCUCAUAGACAGACUUAUAUAGUCUAUAGCAGGGUAUGAACUCCUGAGCUUUAUGGAUGCUUACUCAGGAUACAACCAAAUCCUCAUGAACCCUCCGAACCAAGAACAUACAACAUUCACUACUGACAGGGGACUAUAUUGCUAUAAAGUCAUGCCCUUCGGCCUAAAGAAUGCAGGAGUGACUUAUCAGAGACUAGUCAAUUCAAUGUUCGCCGAACAGAUUGGGAAGAGCAUGGAAGUUUACGUUGAUGAUAUGCUAGUCAAGAGCAAACAUGCUGACCAACACACCAACUUAUCUGAAACUUUCACCAUUCUGAAGAGGUAUCGAAUGAGGUUAAACCUCAACAAAUGUGCCUUCGGUGUAAGCUCUGGUAAAUUCUUUGGCUUCAUGAUAAGCCAACGAGGCAUUGAGGCUAAUCCCGAAAAGAUCAAAGCAAUCCUCAACAUGAAGGAACCGGUAACUUUAAAAGACAUCCAAAGCCUUACUGGUAAAGUGGCAGCCUUAACUAGGUUCAUCUCUAAGGCCACAGACAGAUGUGCUCCUUUCAUCAAAGCACUUAAAGGAAGUAAGAAGUACAUGGACUGAUGAAUAUGCUGAAGCAUUCAAGAACCUCAAAGACUACAUGAGUAAAGCCCCUCUGCUCUCCAAACCUGAGCUUGGUGACACUCUCAUUAUCUAUCUGUCGGUAUCGGUUUCAACAGUAAUUUCCGUUCUCAUUUGAAAGGAUGGUAAUGUCGAACGGCCUGUCUACUACGCUAGUAAGGCCUUACAAGAUGCAGAGACACGAUACUCCAACAUUGAGAAAUUGGCUCUAGCAUUGGUCAUGUUUGCUCGAAAACUUCACCCUUACUUCCAAGCACACUCCAUCAUCGUGCUUACCAAUCAUUCUCUUCGAUAGAUACUCCAAAGUCCUGACACUUCCGGGUGAUAGCAUUGGGUGAGUUUGACAUCUCCUACCAACCAAAGCUAGCUGAGAAAGACCAAGCAAUGGCAAACUUCAUCGCCGACUUCACAUAUCCUAUUGACAUUGUUUCUAAGCCUAAAGAAAUGGUUUUAUUACCCUCGGAAGCUCAGAAAACAGAACCAACAGCCCCAGCAUGGAGCCUAUAUGUUGAUGGCUCGUCCAACCAACAGGGUUGUGGAGCAGGACUAGUCCUUACGACCCCUGACAAAGUGGCAAUGGAGUAUGCUCUUCGUUUCAAAUUCAAGGCGUCGAACAAUGAGGCCGAAUAUGAAGCCCUCCUAGAAGGCUUACGUUUGGCCAAACACCUUGGGGUUAAACGAAUUGAUAUCUUUAGUGACUCCCAAUUGGUGGUUAACCAAGUCACCAACAACUUUGACGCUAAGGAUAGCUCCAUGGCAGCAUAUCUGGCACAAACACAACUAUUGCUCAAGCACUUCCACUACCAGAUCACCCAAAUUCCUCGAGCGGCAAACAGUCAUGCAGAUGCUUUGGCUCGCCUCACCUCAGCGGUGGAAGAUAAAAUUGGGAGAAAAAUUCAGGUCGAAUUGUUGGCAGCACCAAGCACCAUGGCUGCGGAAGUGUGCAACUUACAAUAGGGGGAUAGUUGGAUUACCCCAAUUUAUAUAUUCCUUACUCAUGGCACCCUUCCAAAUGACAAAGUCCAAGUUAAGCAAAUUCGAUACAAGGCUACCUGUUACUUGAUCAUUAAUGACCAACUCUACAAGCAGGGUUUUAACCUACCAUACCUAAGAUGCCUUACGCCCGCAGAGGCGGAAACUAUCAUUUGGGAAAUACAUGAAAGAGUCUACGGAGAUCAUGCUGGAUCUCGAUCCCUAGCACACAAGGCUUUUAGCCAAGAAUAUUACUGGCCAACACUCCACCAAGAUGCCAUCAGAAUAUCCCGCUCAUGUGAUAAGUGUUAACGCUUCGCAACUAUUCCUCACUCCCCUCUCAAGUCGCUCACUCCUAUGAUCAGCCCUUGGCCCUUCGCCCAAUGGGGACUUGAUUUGAUCUGCCUAAUGCCUGCAGGGAAGGGCAAGGUUCGCUAUGCAGUCGUUGCAGUCGACUACUUCACAAAGUGGGCCGAAGUAGAACCCUUAGCAACUAUUACUGAGGCAAAAAUAGAAGACUUCGUAUGGAAGAACAUCCUUUGCAGAUUCGGCAUUCCCAAUGCGAUAGUCACUGACAACGAGCGACAGUUCGACAACAAUAAGUUCAAGAUGUUCUACUCUAAGUUCAACAUCAACUUAUAUUUUGCCUCCCCAACUUAUCCUCAGUCUAAUGGACAAGUUGAAGCCAUCAACAAAAUAAUCAAGCGAACUUUGAAAACCAGCUUGGACAAGGCUAAAGGUUGUUGGCCAGAAUUUGUACCCCAAGUUCUUUGGUCAUACCGCACUUCGUAUCGGACAUCAACAGGAGAAACCCCAUUCUCACUUGCCUUUGGUACAGAGGCUGUUGUCCUAGUUGAGCUUGAGCAAGCAACAUUCCGAGUCCAGAACUAUGUGCAAAGCGAAAAUGACAAACAAUUUACCCUCAACUUAGAUCUAGUCGAGGAACACAUAAACCAGGCUCACUUGAGGAAUGUCGCCUACAAGCAGCGCAUCUCCAACUACUAUGACUCAAGGGUCAAACCUCGUUCUUUCAAAGUGGGGGACUGGGUAUUGAAGAAAAUAUUACUCUGCAACAGAGUCCCAAGUGAAGGAACACUUAGUCCAAACUGGGAUGGACCGUUUGAAGUUGUUGGCAUCAGUCGCCCUAGCUCCUACAAGCUUAGAAACUCUGAUGGCAAGACCCUUGGCCAUCCAUGGAAUGCUGAUCACUUGAAGUACUAUUAGAAGUAAACUCACAUUGUACAAGAGUUAAGUUUCAGCAGUUCGGCAUCCUAUGUAACAAAGACUAUUUGGCAUGAAUUCAAUAAAGAGGUGAUUUAGACAACUCGAUCCUAAUCCUCUUACAUUCCUAGCAAUGAAACACUCAGGUUCAAAGCAUCAACAUGAAUGCUUCCAACAUGAAACAAAGUCUAAGUAUAUGUCAGCAAGACUAUACAAAUAAACGAACAACUUUACAGUAUAUUCGUUCAAUCAUACAUUCUAACACAUUCAUACAUAAACCAACUGUGCUUUGAAAGGGUUCAACAUAUUUUGUGUCAUUCGACACUUGCUACAAUAUAUCUAAACACCUUGCCCUUAUUCUCACCAACCAGGUGAUGAAAUGUACAACCUGUACUCUAAUAUCAUUUGGCAACUUGCCAUUCAUGCCACCAACCAGGUGAUGAAAUGUGCAACCCGUACUCUCCUUCAUGCCACCAACCAGUUGAUGAAAUGUACAACCCGUACUCUAAUAUCAUUUAGCAACUUGCCACUCAUGCCACCAACCAGGUGAUGAAAUGUACAACCCGUACUCUAAUAUCAUAUAGCAACUUGCCACUCAUGCCACCAACCAGGUGAAGAAGGAACUCAUCUUCAUGCCACCAACCAGGUGAUGAAAUGUACAACCUGUACUCUAAUAUCAUUUGGAAACUUGUCAUUCAUGCCACCAACCAGGGGAAGAAGGAACUUAUCCUCGUGCCACCAACCAGGUAAUGAAAUAUGAUGAAAGGUGAUGAAGGAACUCACCUUCGUACCACCAACCAAGUGAUGAAAGCAACUCACCAUUUAUUCCACCUACCAGAAGACGAGUGCUACAACUUGUACAUGUGAACUCCUAGCAUUCACAAAUAAUCAAAAACCCUCAAGCUUGACAACUCAACUAGGGGAGCACUUAAGCCCAACAAAAGUUAUAGUCACCAACAAAGUCUUAUUGCAAGCUAACAACAACUUCAGUGCAUGGCAUACGAAGAUCAAGCUAUUCAGCCCUCUUGCAUCUGCUUCAAACAUUUCCCUUCUGUAACAAUGUAAACACUACAAUUCUCAAAAGCUUCACACACUCUUGAUCAAGACAGUGUGAAGCAAAACCAAUUUAUGGUGCCAACAAAAGCUUCAUCAAAGGAGUUCAACCACAAUUCUCAAAAGCUUCACACAUUCUUGAUCAAGACAGUGUGAAGCAAAACCAAUUUAUGGUGCCAACAAGAGCUUCAUCAAUAGAGGGCAACCACAAUUCUCAAAAGCUUCACACACUCUUGAUCAAGACAGUGUGAAGCAAAACCAAUUUAUGGUGCCAGCAAGAGUUUCAUCAAUGGAGGGUAACCAUAAUUCUCAAAAGCUUCACACACUCUUGAUCAAGACAGUAUGAAGCAAAACCAAUUUAUGGUGCCAACAAGAGCUUCAUCAAAGGAGUUCAACCACAAUUCUCAAAAGCGUCACACACUCUUGAUCAAGAAAGUGUGAAGCAAAACCAAUUUAUGGUGCCAACAAGAGCUUCAUCAAUGGAGGGUAACCACAAUUCUCAAAAGUUUCACACACUUUUGAUCAAGACAGUAUAAAGCAAAACCAAUUUAUGGUGCCAACAAGAGCUUCAUCAAAGGAGUUCAACCACAAUUUUCAAAAGCUUCACACACUCUUGAUCAAAACAGUGUGAAGCAAAACCAAUUUAUGGUGCCAACAAAAGCUUCAUCAAUGGAGGGCAACUACAAUUCUCAGACCUUCGAAGCAAAUUCAAUUUAUAUGGUUCAUCCAAACCUUCGACUACUACAAGGUGUGGCUUGCAUCACAAUCUCUUGCUCAACAGUGUGGAAACAAAAUUUGUAUAUGUUCACAUUUUCAAAUUUCUAGUUUCCCAAAAAAAAAUAAAAAAAGGGAAAUUCAACAAACCUUCAUCAAUGGAAGACAACUACAAAUUCUCAAAAGCUUCAUACUAUCUUGAUCAAGAUAGUGUGAAGCAAAAUCAAUUCAUGGUACCCAACAAAAGCUUCAACUCCAAAGCUUCGCCUACAAAGCUUCAACUCCAAAGCUUCACCUACAAAAGCUUCAACACAAAAGCUUCACCCAUAAAAGCUUCACCAACAAAAACUUCAACUCCAAAGCUUCACCAACAAAAGCUUUAUCAAUGGAGGACAACUACAAAUUCUCAAAAGCUUCACACUAUCUUGAUCAAGAUAGUGUGAAGCAAAUCAAUUCAUGGUGCCCAACAAAAGCUUCAACUCCAAAUCUUCACCUACAAAGCUUCAACUCCAAAGCUUCACCUAUAAAAGCUUCAACACAAAAGCUUCACCCACAAAAGCUUCAAUACAAAAGCUUCAACUCCAAAGCUUCACCUAUAAAAGCUUGACCCAUAAAAGCUUGACCUACAAAAGCUUCACCCACAAAAGCUUCACCCACAAAAGUUUGACCCACAAAAGCUUCACCUACAAAAGCUUGACCCACAAAAGCUUCACCCAUAAAAGCUUCACCCACAACACAAAAGCUUGACCCACAAAAGCUUGACCCAUAAAAGCUUGACCUACAAAAGCUUGACCCACAAAAGGUUCACCUACAAAAGCUUGACCCACAAAAGCUUCACCUACAAAAGCUUGACCCACAAAAGCUUCACCUACAAAGCUUCAACACAAAAGGUUCACCUACAAAAGCUUCACACUACCUUGAUCAAGAUAGUGUGAAGCAAAAUCAAUACAUGGUGCCCAACAAAGCUUCAACCUCAAAGCUUCACCUACAAAGCUUCAACACCAAAGCUUCACCUACAAAGCUUUAAAAUAUAUAUAUAUAUAUAUAUAUAUAUAUAUAUAUAUAUAUAUAUUCGGAAAUUCAACAAUUCAAAAAUUCGAAAAUUCGAAAAUUCAAAAAUUCGGAAAUUCAAAAAUUCAAAAAUUCAAAAAAAAAAUUGCCUAGGCCUCAUCUUCUUUGGGCCUAAUAACGUUCAUAACAAAUAUAUAUGAAGAAGGAGUUUUGGGCUACCACUUAGAAAGGAAAUGCCUCAUUCGUCAACUCCCUCGACUGGAGACUUGGGGGACUUCUACCAUAUGCUACUGCACCUUGAUACUCGGAAGUCUCACGACCACUCAAUGACUUGGAUUUUUCAAGUCUCCAAACGAGAAGUUUUCCUUACUCGGGAAAUUAAGGGAGCACUACCUCAACAUACAUGCUUCACUCUCAAAGCUUGAACAUACAAGCUUCAACAAAAGAAAAAAUUCAAGGAACUUAGUGAAGAAGGCCUUGGUGUAUUUAACACAAUACGUUGAAAUGAAGCAAAGCUUGUUUAUUGAUACCUCCGAUAAGUUACAAAUAUGUACAUAUACAUGAAUCAAAAUAAACAAACAAGAGGGAGCCUUCACAAAGGUUGCUCAUGAGAAGUCUCAGUAGUCGGUAAAGCCUCAGAAAGAGUAGGCACCGGAGGGUGAUCAUUCGGAGCCUCACUACUGGGCAGAACCCCAGAAGGAGAAGGCACUGAAGGUUGAUCAUUUGGAGCUUCAUUAUGCGGUACAGCCCCAGAAGACGAAGGCAAUAAAUGCCUUUGGAACAAACCCACAAACCUCUGAUAAUCAAGUAAAAUCUGACCAUCAGAUUCCUGCAGCUAGUCGAGCUUCCUCUUCAUGUUUGUAGCAUAGUCAUAUGCGAGCAUGUGCAACUAUUUAUUCUCAUGCUUGAGCCCUCUGAUCUCCUGUUUGAGACUUAUCACUUCAGCCGCCAUUGAUUCAACUUGGCGGGUUCGAGCAAAUAGGCGUUGGGCCAUAUUGGACACAAAACCUGCACACUAAACACUGAGAGCCAGAGAAUCCUUAACAGCCAACUCAUCAAAUCGUUUGGAAAAUAGUCUGUUAUCUUUGGGAGUGAGAAAGUUCUUGGCCACCACCGCAGCGGUUAUAUCAUUCUUCAUCACAGAGUCCCCAACGGUAAGAGGACCAAUAAGGGAUAAGAAAGAUGGGCGCCAUAUGUUGUCUUGAGAAGGCAUAGCUGCCUCUUCACCAAAGUUCAAGUCAAAAUGAUGGUCGGAUGGGCCAGACAUUCUCAGAAAUGAUGAAGGAGAAAUGAGGUACAAUAAAUCUCUUAAGUAAGGGGAAAAUUCCUACAGGCAAUAACUCUCUAAAUGAACUAAUUGCACACAAUUGGUGCCCUUAUAAAAGAAAGGGCAACAGGGCCGUUGGUUCAAAAAUCGAAGAGGCACCACUCUUCGGAUUCCGAAGAGGCACCACUCUCCGGAUUUCGAAGAGGCACCACUUUCCACACGCAACAUCAACUCUUCGGGUACCACAUCUCUGACAAAGUUUAGACACAUAAAUUUUGAAGGUCCAGCUACCCUACUAUUACCCACAAGGGUAAAGGAACAGCACCACUACUUGAUAACUAGAAAGUCUCAAUGUGUGUCAACCUCUGUGCUCCGUGGCAAGGCAGACUAGCAAAAAUGCCCAACCUUUACUCACAUUCGAGAAAACACUCCCAACAAGAUUGCUUGCUCAAAAAUCGAAGAGGCACCGCCCUCCGAAUCUCGAGAGCCAGACUUCCAACAGGAUUACUUUCUCAAAAAUCGAAGAGACACUACUCUCCGAAUCUCAAGAGUCAGACUCCCAACAGGAUUGCUUUCUCAAAAAUCGAAGAGGCACUGCUCUCCGAAUCUCGAGAGCCAAACUCCCAACAAGAUUGCUUUCUCAAAAAUCGAAGAGGCACUGCUCUCCGAAUCUCGAGAGUCAAACUCCCAACAACAUUGCUUUCUCAAAAAUCGAAGAGGCACAGUUCUCUGAAUCUCGAGAGCCAGAUCCCCGACAGGAUUGCUUGUUCGAAAAUCGAAGAGGCACCGCUCUCCGAACUUCGAGAGCCAGAUUUCCUUGGAUAAAGCUUAUCUGCAAUCUUCACACGCAACAUCAGCUUUUCAGAUACCACAUACCACUUUUUCAAAGCGUUCUGACAAAGUUAAAACGUGUGAAGCUUGCAGCUCCCACUACAUUGAUAUAACCAAGAAAGGUAAAGGAAUAGCAUUAUUAAUUGCUCAAAAAUCGAAGAGGCACCGCCAUCCGAAUCUCGAGAGCCAGACUCGCAACAGGAUUACUUUCUCAAAAAUCGAAGAGGCACCGCUCUCCGAAUCUUAAAAGCCAGACUCCCAACAGGAUUGCUUUCUCAAAAAUCGAAGAGGCACCGUUCUUCGAAUCUCAAGAGCCAGAUCCCCGACAGGAUUGCCUGUUCGAAAACCAAAGAGGCAUCGCUCUCCGAACUUCGAGAGCCAGAUUUCCUUAGAUAAAGCUUGUCUACAAUCUUCACACGCAACAUUAGCUUUCCAGAUACCACAUACCAUUUUUUCAAAGUGCUCUGACAAAGUUAAAACAUGUGAAGCUUGGAGCUCCCACUACAUUGCUACGACCAAGAAGGGUAAAAGAAUAGCAUUACUACUUGUUGUUAGGGAGACUCCUAUAUAUGUCGAUCUCCACCCUCCACGGACAAGCAGACCUGUAAAAAUGCUCAACCCUUCCUCAUAUCUGAGAGGGUACUCCCAACGAAGCCUCUCGAAAUACUCAGCUUUCUUCCCCCCUAAUAAUACCUAUGCAAACCAGCCACACCAGAGCAAGAGUAUCUCAUAUCAUCAGGGUCAAAAGCAAAAGUAUCCCAUAUCAUGCUUUUUCCUUGUCUUUUCCUUUGCCCUUAUUCUUACCUACAAGACAAGGAGAAAGAGAGCAAUCAGUCAGCACUUGGAAUCAAGCUUCCAGUCAGGAACUGACUGCCUGGAACCCCUUGCCUGAUUACUUACCUGGCAUUGCUCUCGAGUACUCAUCUUCAACAUCUUAUGCUUCCAGAAAAGAUACCACAUCUGCCUCAGAAUAGAUAGGGCAAGUUAGAAGGAUAUAAGGAAGCAUGUGGAGACAAGCACAACAGAACACAUGCCGAUUCAUUUAUUACUUCGUCAACAGCAAAAGUAUCCCAUAUCAUCAAGGUCGAACGCACUAUUGAUUUGAUGGAUUUGUUUUGACCCUCAAAUUCUUAAGUCGGCCUUAUACUCUGGAGGAAACCAGAAAACCCUCCAACCCAGUUUAAGAAUAAGCCUGUAGAAUGUUACUUCUUCAAAAGCAAAAGUAUCUCAUAUCAUCUAUUCUCCAUUUGCUUCUCCUUAUCCUUGUUGCUAUUUACGACACAAUGAGAAGAAAAACAAUCAACCGGAAGCUAAAGUCGAACCUCCGAUCCAGGUUGCUUGCUUGGAAGUCUGAUUGCUUAUCUUGUCUGUUACCUCUUUCGGCAAAUCUCCUAGCUCGGCGACUUGGGGGACUCCUACUAGGGUUUUGUAUCGCACUUGACCAAGCCCGAAACUACAAGUAAGCUUCAAGUGAAAUUGAUACAGUACCUUGUGCAUCUUCAUCCGUUAAAGAUACCACCCCUGGAAGGAGGAAAAAUACUUCCAAAGAAGAUGCCACAUCUACAUAUGAGACACAUAAGGCAAGUGAAAAUGAUACCACACUUCAGUAUUUAGAAGUUUCGUGAUUACUCAAUGGCUUGGAUCUUGCAAGUCCCCAACCGAGGAGCUUCCCUCACUCGGUAACUUAGGGGAGCACUAUUUGUACCAUACUUGACCAAUCCCGAAACUACUGAGCACCGGUCAACGUUAUACCGUCAAUGACCCAGAAGAGUUUCCCUCCAACCAGGAGGCCAAUCACAGCGCGACACGUGUCUACAUCAGAAGCUAAUCAUAGCGCGACACGUGUCAACAUCAGAUAGAAUGAAACUAGAAACUCUCUUCUAUAAAUAGAGAUCAUUCUCUCACAAUAUUUCCUAAUGUCAUUUGUACUAAAUCAUUCACUUGUACUCACUAAAGGAGAGCUUAAACCUAUGUACUUGUGUAAACCCUUCACAAUUAAUGAGAACUCCUCUAUUCCGUGGACGUAGCCAAUCUGGGUGAACCACGUACAUCUUGUGUUUGCUUCCCUAUCUCUAUCCAUUUACAUACUUAUCCAUACUAGUGACCGGAGCAAUCUAGCGAAGGUCACAAACUUAACACUUUCUAUUGUACCAAUCACUGAUUUUGUGCAUCAACAAUGUGCUUAGGUAUUUUAUAGGAUAAAUCAUAUUAUAUUAAAAAAAAUUCAUAAUGAGCAAUCAACAUUAACUUCUUGUUUUCAAUUUGUUUCAAAAUUUGACUUCUUGAUCAUUGACUAUUGCUGAUUAGCAUUGACUGCCAUUGACCAACGAUAAAAGCUAAGCUCAUUUAUAAGGUUUUUUUUAGUAGUUCAAAAUUACCAAACUAAACUUUUUCUUAACAGGUUACCUGCGAGUAGACAACAUAUUUUUAAUGGGUGACCCAAUAACAACCCGAUUAGUUAAUGUGUUGACCCGAAACACGUUAUUUUUUGUGUAUGGUUAACAGGUCGUGAAUGAAAUUGUCAGGUCUACUCAGAGGAUGAGGGAGACGAGCCAGAGGCUGCCAUUGUAUGCAUCAUCGCAGCAAUGUACCACCAAAACUUAUCCUCCUACUGGCGUGCAACUUCUUCCCAAGCUUCUUCUUGCUGGCUUAUGGUCUCUAAUUGCAUCUCUACCCAGAAGACAUCCUGCUUUGAGGCUAGCAACUAGAUGAAGAAGAACCCCCAAAAUCCCAAUCCUGACCUGCUUUAUGGCCUUGGUGCUCUCAACCUUUCCGUCGCCCAACCACGUCUAUCAGUAAUUGUAGAGACACAUCUGGAUCAGGUGUCAAUUGUUCCAUUAGCGUGUCCGGAUGCUGUUAGGAAAGGUUGGCAAGGUACUUGUCAUUCUUCUGCGACAUAGAAGCCUAUAAAAAAAAUAAAAUAAAAGGAAAGCAAUUAAAUUUGUCGAUCAUAAUUUUAAAUUUUUUAAGUGUAAGGAAAUUUGAACUUAAAAUUUGAACGGAGUACUUACAUAAAUGUUGUCAGCCACCUGGUUGCCAUAAUUGGCAUGACCCUUAGUUUCGAUCUCCAGGAAAAGUGAACCCUUCUCACUCCGUUCCUCGACCCGAAAACCAAAGUGAUUGAAGUACUACUUCGCUUUCUAGUUACCCUUACUUGCCUUUGAUGUCUGCUGUGAAAUUAAGAAACAAAAAAUUAAAAAAUCUAGAAAUGGAUUGGUCAGAGCUUCAGCAAGAGAUGCACAAGUCUAGAAGUACAUAUGCUAUGCAACUCGUACUUUCACUUCUUAUACCACUCAGUCCACACUCGGUUUAAGUACUCAUACAUACCCGACACUUCCAUGUCAAUCUCAAAGUUGACUUGAAAUAGACAAAAAACAAGUGUUUAGUUUAAAAAUACACAAAAAAAGGAUAAAGUAAAAAUAAUAAUAAAUUUGAAAAAAACACACGUUUACUUAAGAUCUCUUUCACCAUUGCCUCCGGCACCUCAGGGGCGAGCUUCCUCCAUGUUGGGGGCGACCAUGGAGCUCUUGGUGUGGAUGAUGGCUCCCAUGUUGUGAGUCAACAGGCUGUUGGCUUUGAGGUCAAGCGUUAUGUUGGUGAUCCGAUUCAAGGACAAGCCUCUAUAGAUCCCCAGCACUUUGACCUUCUUCCCGCCCGAAUUGGGAGUUUCCCAUCUCCCGUCGGGGGCAUGGCCGCUGAAUCAUCAUCGGCCUCCGCUGCGUCACCAAUUGGUUAGGGUUUAGUUUAUUAUAAAUAGAGUGUUUUUGCUUUAGUAGAGAUCAAUUCAAUCAAGGUGUAGCAUUUAGUUUGUAGCUAGCUGUCUCACCAAUUUUAUUGUUGGUUAAUAAUAGUUUCAUAGUUUGUUUAUUCGUCUGUUUGAUACUCGGAUUUUCAACUCUGGUUAACUUUAAACAAAAUUCCUAUCUUUCUCAUUCUUGUAUUAAAUUAAUUGAGAAUUCUAUUUGAGCACAAGUUAUUCAGCGUCUCUGAUUUCACCUAAUUGCAACGACAAGCAUCAUUUUAAUUUCAUGUCAUAAAUUUACCAAUUUUGACAAAUAUACAUAUUUGAGAUGUAGAAUUAAAAUUUUCCUCAAAUAAGCCAUUGGAUGCUUGAAUGCGAACCCUACUAGCAAAGCCAGGAAUUGACGGGGGGAGGGGCGAAGUUAAAAGAGUGCAAGGUUCAAAAGAAUAGCAACAACCAAAUCAUUUUAUAUAGUAAUGUCUUCCAUAAUUUAUCAACAUAAACAAAUUACAAUUGUUGCCGACGACGUUUCAUACCAUGAAAACGUCACAUAAUAGGCUCAUUAUCAAUAAAAGCAAAUACAUCUCUCUCUAUGUAAACAAGCAUACUAUCACUCAACCAUUGAUCUCCCAUUUUGUUACGCAAUGGUGUUUUCACAAUCUUCAUAGCAGAAAAAGCUCUCUCCACCGAAGCGGUUGCAUGAAGAUUAGCCAAUAUCUCAUCCAACUCAGUGGGCUCACUUUGUUGUGAACUACUCAGAAUAUUCAAAGGAUGACUUCUUAUAUUUGAAGGAGGAGGAGGAUGACUACUUGGAAUAUUUGAAGGAGAAGGACUACCCGAAAUGUUUGAAGGAGGAUUUAAGCAUUGUUUCUUAUAGUAAUGUUCCAUUACGUAACUGUAAAAUGAAAAGAAAAGAAAAAUCUUAGACUCUUAAUCCUAGAGUAGACUAUACUAAUAUGCAUAAUAACCCAACCAACAAUUCAAUUAAUCAAUACCAAUAAGCAUAUAAAUUAUUAAAUAAAUAAAAAAUUCAUUCAACUAAUCAUAUGAAUACAACUAAUCAAAAAUUCAAAUUUUAAUUUUCACCCUAAAAAAUAAUUUCAUAAUUUCAUAUCAAUCAAUAAUCAUAGAAUCAUAUCAAUAAUCAAUAAUCAAUAAUCAAUAACCAUAUUAGUGCAUUACCAUAUGAUUCUAUACUAAUUAAACAAAAUUCGUAUUAAAUAAUUAAUUAGGGUUAGGGAUUAUAAAUUUAGGAAUUAUAAAAUUUACCUUUGAAAUUGAAGGCUAGAAGUCGGCUUAGCGGCUGGAGUGGCUAGUGUUAGCAGCAAAAAGCCAACAGAAAUUAGCCAAUGGGGAUUUAUUUUCCGUUCCGUUGGGGUUGUGCGUUGGCUGCAGGCUCAGGCUGCUGAGAUUUUGGGAGAAGCUUUGCACUCUCUCUCUCUCUGAUUGGGGAAGGGAGAAAUUUGGAAUGGUAAAGCAUGACACGCGGGCUGACUAAGUGAAGGACUGGGGGACAUGCCACGCGGUCCCCCCAAAACAUAUAUAUUUUUUUGGUUUUUUUCAAACAUUGAAAGUUUCACGUGGAGGGGCACUAAUUUGAAACAGACAUGAGACAUGGAGGGGCCUAACUUUGGGACAUGCGGGCCAGAUUUUAAAUUUUUUAUUAAUUUAAAAGGAAAAAAAAGAACCCAGUGCUGCUGCACGCAGCAGCAAAACCAGUUCACCGGUGCCAAAACAGAGAUGGAGGGGCUGGGUUUUCCGGUGAGGGGAGGGGCGAAACCUCGGCUUCAACUGUGUUUUCCGGCGAGGGGAGGGGUGGUCGCCACUCCUCGUCCUCACGUGGCUUCGCCACUGCCUACUACGAUCACCAUGUUUCCAUACAAUCAGAAAUGUUCCGGUGUUUCCAGGGGCAUCUGAACGUUCUACGACUCGGAUUCCCCGGCCCUUGGGUUGACAAAUGACAAUCCGACAAACUGGUUGUUGGAUGCCACCCCCUUGUUCUGCAGACAAAUACUUCUUCAGUGCUUUGUGAACUUAAAGCGCACUUUUGUCCCAUCCUGCCAGUUAAAAUCGAAAUUCAGGCAUAUAUAGCUCGAUCAUUGCAUGUGUGAAAUUUGUAACAGCAUGCUCUUAGAAAAACAGACAACACUAAUAUAAUUAUGGAAACUUUAACGAAAAGUUCCCGGUACUGUCAUAUUUUUACACUAAAAAGUUAAUCCUGAUACUAUUCAUUUUACCCUUUAUUUUGUCAUUAUCAUUAAAACUCAAAAUUUUCAAAUUAUUUUCAUUAGUUUUGCUUAUAAUUAUAUUAUAUUAUAUAUAUAUGUGUGUAAGUGCGUGCGCGCGCGGGGGCGCGUGUAGUAAUAUUACGAAAGGACAAGGAUUGUCUACCCUCGCGUGUCCUCCUGUUUGUGUAGUAACGGUUAAGCCACGUCAACAUUUUAUAUUACUAUUUAUUUUUGUCUUAUUAUCCUUAUAAAAAAAAUAAUAUAAAAUAUUAACAUAGCUUAACUAUGAUUACACAAAACAAGAGGGUACGAGAAAGCAGACAAUCCUUGUCCAUUACCAAAAGAUCAUUGUUGGGGAUUCCUUCAAAGAGACAAGAUUUAAUCCAACCCUCAAUGAGCAGCCAAUUCCCAAGAUUACAUCUUUGAAUUCUGUGCUAGGGAAAGAGAAACUCAAAAUAUGAUUAUGGCUCCUUAAACUACAGAGUAUGAUUGUAGUACAAUUUUUUUUUUUUGGGAGCACAUGAGGUAAAAUUUAACUUAAAAAUAGCAUAAAUUGUUAUAAAUAGCAUAAAUUGUUAUUAGCCUCCAAUUGUAAUGUAUAAUCCUACUUUUUUUCGUAGACUAGUUUGAUGUAUUUCCACCGGUGUGGAUUUGCCAAGGCAUCCGGGCACUUUAUGGUAAAGCCCAGCUCCACGGAAAUGGAUCUUUUCUAGAUCUUUUCCAUUACGGUCAUCAGAUUAAAUGAUCUGGAUCUUCAAAAUUUCAUUCAAUGAUAAAAAUUUAUUAUAACUUUUAAAUGAUCAAAACAGUUGGGUCAUUGGAUGAAAUUUUAAAAGUCCAGAUCAUUUGAUCUAGUGAUCUUGGUAGAAGAGAUCCGGAAUCCAGCUCUUCCGAUGUGGAUUACUCUAGACAGGUGGUGGGCCCCACGGAACCCAGACAGCUUCUCAGGCCUUCCCGACCCAUGCAGGUUCCCAGGUAGAUGAUGGGUCCCAGAUGAUUUCAGCGCAAGUGGCUCAGAUAGCUGUCCAUCUCCACCAUUUAAUCUCUAAUAGUUUGGCGAUCUAACGGUCUAUUUUUUUUCAACUUUUAAAAUGAAAAUAAAAUGUAAAAUAAAUGUUUAAAAAAUAUAUAAAAAAAUGGAAAAUCCAGAAACAAGUUUUUCCAAAUGGUGCAAAACAAAAUAUUCAACAGUUACACACUUAAAACGCGCCAAAGCAUCAGUAAAAAGCUAAUGCAUUUAUUCCUUUUAUUUCUUUUUCUGUAGUACAAUUUGAGGUCCAAUAUAUUUAUCAAAAACAAAAUAGAGUUUCAAUAUAUAUAUAUAUAUAUAUAUAUAUAUAUAUCAUAAUCUGUAAAACCUAAUUAAGGUUAAUGUAGUUGUUUUCAAUCAUCCACUUGAGGCUCCAAUGGUUGUAUUGACACUUAUAAGCCCAAUAUGCCCAUCCAAAAGUGGCACGCCCAUACACAUCUACUUGGGCACUUGCAAAUCUCUGGUAUUCUUCCUUUGAUGCUCCAUUUAUCGCCCAUUCGGCAACCCAUUCCCCUGUACGUACAAUAUAUUCUCAUCAAUAAGCCAGCUAAAACAACUCUUAUGAGGAAAAGUGUUUCUUACCAUUACUUAUUGCUUAAUUAAUAGUAACUUACCAACAAAUGUGAGGGGUACACCACUGGAAGUGGUCACAGUAUCGAGAUCCGAAGCUCGUUGGUUGUGGAUGAAAUCGAUGUUUUGUUGCACGCUGAAGCUGUUGAACAUGUCUGAAUAGAGGCUGUAGUAAUGCACAUCUACGACCACACGAUCGAGGCCUUGGGCAAAUGAGAGAAGCUCCUUUGCAUCAGCUGGUCCUAACCGGUUCGAUAAGACGACAUAGGCCCUUGAAGUGUACUUCCUUACUGCAUCAUAACCGGCUUUGUAAUAGUUUUUGAGGCUGUCUAGAGUAACACCUGGUGCCAUAGGCUCAUUCAUUAACUCAAUUGCAGCAAGAGCUGGAUGGUUAGCGUAUCUGUUUGGGAAAAGGGAAAGGUUCACAUUAGUUGUUACUUUGCUACGAUUAAGCUUAAUUCUUGUAUACGUUUGCUUCUGUAUUAUUUGUUUAGUGAAGAAUUGAACACGUAAGACCUUGCAGCUAAGAAAUCUAUAACUGCCACAGUAUCCUGUAUUUUGGAAUUUCCCCAUUCAAGAUAGCCAUCUCUUGUUGCACUGUGAUCAUUGCCGUUUUGAGAACCUUCAACUGCAUGUAGAUCGACGAUCACCUUCAUCCCGUAAUUUCUGCAGAUAUGUUCAUAGAGGGAAACAGUAAAAAUACUAUAAUUUGAAGUAUUUUUCUCUUUCUGUUCUCUAAAAUAUAAGUUAUUGUUCUAAAAUUAAAUACCAAUAUAUAGAUGACACAAUACGUGCAACGACUUACUGUGCCCAAGAGAAAGCAUUGUCAAGGGCUUUCAAGGAGCCACCAACAAAAGGCUUAGGUGGUGAUGGAUCUUUUGCAAUCCACCAUCCAACCGGGAUCCUCACCGCAUCCAAGCCGUUUGAAGACAAGAAUCUGAAAUCAUCUUCGGUGAUGUAACUGUUCCAGUGAUCCUGUUAACCAUGGUUUGAAUUGAACUUUAUUAUUUAUAAUCAUUAAUUGAUUACUUGCGUCUGAUGUGCCUGGUAAUACUAAUGAUCAGUUACCUGCAAAACUUGAGGAGCUCUGUCUGGACCAUAACCAUUUGUGAUUUGGUAUUCACCUCGCAAGGUCUUGUCACUUAAUAUUGUCAUUAUGAAGACAGAUGGGUUAUCGUCUUCCCAACCGGAGCCCCCAUAAUCUGCAGUCAACUGCGUCUCGGAUGUUGCCUAAGUACGACGAAAAACAUGAUUUUGAUGCCAUUAGUUUUCCAGUUCCUCAACAUAAAAGACUUGGUCUAUACAGUUAAAAGACCAUUUUAAUUUAGUAAUAGAAUAGUUAUAUGGUCUGUCAAUUAUAUAUGUUCUUUAUCUUAUAAGAAUGUUCACAUACUGAAGUGAGAUCAGAUAUAAUAUGUAUGUGACAAAUAAAUGGAUGUUCGUUCAAUACUACCAAAAGAAAAAGCACCUGCAGAAAUAAACCAUUGGAUGCUUGAAUACAAACUCUAUUUGGAUCACCAUCUUUCCUUACAAUCCGAAAUGUUUCUGAAUUGCCUGGUGAAUCUGAAACUGCGACAACGUCCCGGUUUGACAAUCCCACAAACUGCUUGUUGAACACUCUAAAAUUGAAAGACGAUUCAUCGAUCCUCCACAACUGUAUGCAUUAUACAACGAGUCAAAUUCUUACCGUAAGAAUUGAAGUUAAUUUCUAUGAUUAAUCAAAGUUGACAUUAAGAGCAUAUAUACCCUAAAAGUUUCCCAACCAGACGCUGAAUCGCGGUUCACAACAACAGUGGAACCAGAACCACCCCCAUUUUCUGCAGCAAGAUACUUCUGCAGCUUUGUGGACUUGAAUUGAACUUGUGUCCCAUCCUGCCAAUGAUAUUCAAAAUCAGUAAAAUAUUAUCGGUGACUUUUUUGACGGAAAGACGGUUAGAUUAUUGAAAUACAUUACGAAAUAAUAACUCUAAAAAAUACAUCAAAAUACAUGUCAAAACAUGUUUCCCUCAAUUCUGACAUACACACACACAUAUAAUAUAUGUAUAUAUAUGUCAUGUAUGUAGCAGACGUACCAAAAGGUCAUUGUUCGGAAUUCCAUCAAAGAGAGGAGGUUUCAUCCAACCCUCUAUAAGAAGCCAAUUCCCAAGAUUCACAGCUUUGAGUGGCAAAUUGAUAUCUUGUGCUAGGGAAACAGGAACAACACAUAACAAUAGGUACAAAGCCAGGACAUGGUGAUAUCCCAUCUUUCAACCCUUCAAUCUCUCAAUCAGAAAUGAACGGAAAAGGCAGCAGGUGCUUGUUAUAUAGAAGCAACAAUUUGGUAAAGUUAAAACAGUAACGAUGAAAUAUUUCUAACGUUUGAUUAAAUAAAUAUAAAAACUUCGAUGAACUGAGUUGACUAAGAAAUUAGCGUUCCAAUAAGUUCAACACGUCGAGGAGGAAGAAAGUCUACAUUUGAUUAUUGUUGCCAUGACCUAGUUCAACACGUCGAGGAGGAAGAAACUCUACAUUUGAUUAUUGUUGCCAUGACCAGCCAAAGGUGGGAAGAAUUAUUGCUUUCGCCUUACAUGGAAUUUUAUGUCAAUCAUGGGAUAAUUAGUUUCUAUGAUUCAGCAGCAAAGGUGGGAAGACGUAUUGCCUUCUUAAAGGAUCUUUGGUUUAAGGUCAAUCAAAUAUGUUUUACGAAGCGAUAUUCUACACUAAUUUACAUUAAAAAGAGCAACAGUGCUUAAACACAAGAUGCAAUGAAUUGAAGAAAAAUGUGCUAACUAUUAACUAAGUCAAUGACUUUUUUAGUCCACUACUUAUUUACUAAAGCGUUUAUAUUGGCUCAAGCGUGUUCGUGUACCUUUUUCAAUGGGGUUGCGGUUGCUUGACUUUUUCUCUCUCUUAUCUUGACUUUUUCUUCUUUUAUCCAACUAGCAAUUGCUAAAAGGGCUGCCAUGUGUUUCCAUGAGAGAGAGAGAGAGAGAGAGAGAGAGAGAGAGAGAGAGAGAGAGAGAGAGAGAGAGAGAGAGAGAGAGUAUUCUUGACAACUUUAGUUUUAUAAAAAUUUCAUAUUAGAAUAAGAAUAGACCUUAAAUGUGUUUAUAAAUAAUUAAACUAUCAUUCUUUUGGUACUAAAAAUUAUCAUUCUUUUGAUACUAAAGAUUAUCAAGCCUGCGUGGCGGGCAGGCUAAGUAACUAUGUUCUUCUUGUGGUUGAUGUGGACAUGUAAACUUGACACAGAGGUGAAUUGAGCGAGAGUAAGAUGAAUGUAGUGGUGGUGUCGAAUCACGCUGUUAACUUUUGGGCCGAGCGACCAUGGCCAAGGAAGGACACUCUCACCCUAGUGGUGGUGUCGAAUCACUAAUCUUCAUUAAAAGGAGAUUGAAAGUAAGUUUCAAUUCACCAUUGAUCAGUAAAGGUUCUAAUUACCAACUGCCUCGCUAAUUAGAACCUAAUGGGUUGUACACCAUGUAUGGUUGAGAUUGAAGAAAACAAUGGAGUUGAGUAAGGCCAUUUAAAUGGUUAAUUAUUUAUGGCGAUGAUUAAUUAAUAUGUGAAUUAAUCAAACGAAUAAGAUCGUUUUAAACCUCGGGUUAGUUUCGGGCUUCAAGGCCCAAUGGGCUUUGAAUAGUCAAGCCCAUUAACUUAAAUUGUAUGACAACUUACAACAUAAAGGGCCAAAAAACCCAAUCAACUCACCAUGGCGGCCAUACAUAGGGUUUUGGUUUAAUUUCAAUUAUGUCACUCAAUGUGAGCGACUAUAACAGGAAAUUUAUAUGCCAAAUUCAUUUAGGGCUUCAUGAGGGAAUUGGAGAGAACAAAAGCUCCCUAUUUUCUCUUUUGAAGACCGACCUUGAGGGGGAAGAACACUAGCAUCUUCUUCUCCCUUAGUCACUCAUCUCUUCAUCAACCUCUAAUUGGUCUAGAAACAUAGAGGACCCUUUCUUGGGAACUUGGAUGAUCCAUUCAUCCAUUCAACUCCAAGAAAUCCAUGGAGCAAAUAAGCAAGAAAUAAAGGCUCACUCUUGGGUGAGUAGCCUUUGCUUAUGCAAACAAAAAUCCUCAAAGGUAUAAGAAGUCUCAACUCUAUCUGUCUUUGAUUUGAGUUGAGUCUUGGUUCACAAUUACUAGGCUUUAAAUUUCAUGGUAAAGUUUAGAUUUUGAGUGCCUACAAACAUGACUCUGCCUUUUAAUUCUUAAAUGCAUGUGUUAAUGUUGCUCAAACUACUCGUUGCAGCAUGAUCUUGUCCGAAGCUUCUAACUACUCGUUGCCUUGUGGGUAUCGUAGAGUAGAGGUAAGGUGACAGAUGCCAAGUUCUUUAUACUAGUCUGUCACUUCAGAGAUGAUGAAAUGUAGUCUAUUGUCUAUAAGUAUGGUAUGAAGGUAUACUAAAAUGACAAAUUUAUCCACGUAUAGUUUCCAAAGACGAAGAUUCUUGAGUGUUUUCCGCAGAUCUACAAAGGUAGGGACAUCUUUAUUCAUCAGGGUAAACUCCAUUACAAAGUCUACUAGCACAUGAGCCUUAAUCUAAGUAUUGGAUGAAAGAUGACUUGGUGCUACCCCAAUUUGAUGACCUAUUUUAUGAUUCUGGAUGACACGUCAAGACUAUGUAGGAAGGAUUAGAAUGGGUACUUUUUCAAGUACACCACUCAGAACGACUAGAAGUAUGGUCCAAACUCUAGCUGCCGUCACCAGCUCAGGGAUGAGCUUUUCCAUCUUCGGGUAUCUGGUUUUUGGUUCAAGGAGAGCUUUUGAUACAUAGUAUACCAAUUUUUGCUCCCUCAAGUCUUCUCAAAUCAAAGCUGCACUGACCACACAAUUUGAGACCACUAGCUAUAAGUGCAAAUAUUCCCCAUGUUGGAAAAUUUAUAUUAUAAUAUUAAUUUAUUAAUUGAAUUGAAAUUAGAAGUGAAGCCUUUUGGUAGAAAGAUGUGUCUAUUCAAAUGAAACUUUUGACUCUUCAUGAAUAGUCAUAUGAUUUUCAAAGAGGUAUCUCACAUUCUAUAAAUAGGGAAGCCCCCUAUAGUCAUUAAAUAACUUUUCAUCAGACAUAUAAUACAUUAAAUAUUAAAGUGUGUCAUUGAGUAAUAUGAGAAAGUAUUCAACACAAUCGUGGUUCAUUGGAGCCUUGUAAUUUAGAGUGCUACUAUUACAAGGACAUGGUCGUUGUACCUUGAGAGAAGCACCGAUCAACCAUAAGUACCUGAGUGGGGCUUAAACUUGUCAUAAGGACAAAAUGUCCAACACUUGCCUCGACCAUAUUUCCACUUUUUUUCUAAUUCAUGAUGGCAUGUUCAAUUAACAUUGGUUACUCAUGUACAUGCAUCAUUUUGAUAUAUAAUUGCAUGAUUUAUUUAUUGAUUUUCUAUGUGAUUUAAUAAAGCAAUUAAACCCUAUAUUUCCAACAAUCUUAAGACAAGUUUAUUGGUUUGAUUGCUCCCGUGACAAAGUAAAGGUUGAUCCUAAUGACAUGGUCUGUCUUUCACAUUUAUUCUAUCAUGUUUUUGUCCUAUUGAUUAAUUUUUAUGGUAGAAUAGUCUGGUAUGUAGUCUUGGUUUACUGCAAAACUGUUUGUUUGUAUUCUUGCCUAGUUAGUUACUUCUUUGCCAUGCAGUAAGUUUCAGUUUGUAAAGUAAGGAACGUUUGGGAGUGUUUUGUUUACGACUAACACUGUAUAAUAUAUUCACAGUUUUCAAAUGAUGGUCAAUCGAGUGUUUGACAAAUUAAUUAAUCAGAUUUCCAAGUGGUUGACAUGCCAACUGGGAAACGAUUACAUACAUUUAUCUUGUAUAUUGUGAAUUAUAUAAGAAUGUGUUGGUUUCUAUAUAACUGUUGAUGCAACUAAUUAAGAUAAGAAGCUUUUAAGAUUCCAUGGAAAGAUUGAUCAUCGGCUAGAUAUGUGUUGAAGGUUGUAUAUACAGUAAACAGAACAACACAAGAAUUUUGUAAAUUGUUGAUGAUGAUGAUUAAGAUAGAAGAUUAUUUGUCUUGUAUAUUUAUUAGAAAUUAGUCUCUAACUGUUUUAAAUUAAUGUCAAUUUGAUUUUAACUUCCCUUGGCAUUUUGGGCAUGUCGCCCUACUGGCAACGUUUUAAAGUUUGAGGUCUGAUAAAAUUAUUAUUCAUGUCGCCUAAUUUGCAUUGUUGUUAAUUAUUGGUUUGAUUGCUAUAUUAUAUCUGUUUUGAGAAUAAUAUAUGAAUUAUUUAUUAAUUUUCUAUGUGAUUUAAUAUAGCAAUUAGACCCUAUUAGUCCAACACCCCAUCCACUAGCGUAUGCCUCCUCGCAUUCGUCUAUAUAGAAUACACUUUUGCUCUUUUUUAUCGUUGUGAAUAAGGGCUUGCACUUGUUGGUGGAUCAUGAAAGAAAUUGCCUGAGGGCAGCCGCUCUUCCAGUCAAGUUUUUGUCUCCUUCACUGUCCUAGGGGACUUCAUCUUUAUGGUCAUUCUGAUCUAGAAAGAAUUGGUUUCUAUUCCGCGCUUAGUGAGUAAGUAGCUUAGGAACUCGCCCAAAGCUACUCUGAAAGUACAUUUUUCCAAGUUAAGCCUCAUGAUGUACUUGUGAAGUAGAUCGAAGGACACUUGAAGGUUGGGUAAAGAGAUCUUCUUUGCCUUUGAUGACCAUGUCAUCUAUGUCGACUUCCAUCAUUUCUUCGAUCUUUUCCUUGAAUAUAUGAUUGACUAGUCUUUGAAAGGUUGCCCCUACAUUUUUAAGACCAAAGGGCAUAACCUUAUAGCUGUACGUACCUCAACCAUUCACUAGUAAAAAAAACACUUUGCGCGACGCAGGUCCUUCGUCGCGCAAAGUCAAAAAACGUCGCGCAAAACUUUGCCCAACUCACCUUGGUCAUUCGCAAACCGUCGCGACAAGGCAAUGACAGAAGGCUUUGCGCGACCAAGGUGAGUUGGGCAAAGUUUUACGCGAUGUUUUUUGACUUUGCGCGACGAAGGACCUGCGUCGCGCAAGUGUUCUUUGCGAGACGUAGUUGUACCGUCGUCGCGCAAAACAGUUUUGCGCGACGCAUUACUACGUCGCGCAAAGACCACUUGCGCGACGUCCUGUGUGUUGUCGUCGCGCAAACAUACUUUGCGUGACGAAAUGAUCUACGUCGCGCAAACAUAUUUUUCUACUAGUGUAUUGGCGAAUGGUGUUUUCUCUAUGGAUGUCUUGUACAUCUUGAUCUAUUUAUAGCCGAAGUAGGCGUCUAUCAAGCUCAGCAACUCAAUGUCUGCUAUAGAAUCCACCAACAAAUCGAUUCGCAGAAGAGGGUAGGGAUCCUUGGGGCAUGUUUUGUUCAAGUUUGUGAAGUCUAUAUAGAUUCUCCAUUUCAUGUUCUUCUUUUGCAUGUGCACCACAUUGGCCAGCCAGUCCAAGUGGUGGGCUUCGACCAUGAAGUUCGCAUCUUUAAGCUUAUCGACCUCGGUUUCAAUGAUCGUACUUCAUUCUAUUGUGUGAUUACAUUUUCGUUGGAUAACCAGCUCUGUGGUUGGGUUCAAAUAGGGGCAAUGGCAGAUUAUAGAGGGGUCUACCCCAGGCAUGUCAUCCGCGGACCAAGGUGAACACAUCCUUGUUGGCCCACAAGAAAGCAGUGAACAUUUCUUUUUCUCGAUCUAUCAGCUUUGAUCCAAUCUUGGCUUUGCGUUUUGGUUUGUCGGGGUUAAGGCUUAUCUAAAAUGCGUCCUUGUUUGCCUUGGACUCUGAUGUGCUGUCGAUUUGGGGUCAAGGUCUAGGUCAAAUUCCUUAUGGCCCAUCUAUUAAUCCCCAACCUAUGGUUGCUAUGUUUAUUCCUCUAUGGGGCAGUGGAGCUCUACUACCCCUUGUGGAUUGUAUUCAUGCUUUCCACAACAUAGCCUUGUGCUGCUACUUGGUCUCCCUUGAUUUUUUUUUACUCCGUUAGGUGUUGGGUAGCAGAGUAGCUGAUGAUAGGAUUAAGGGAUUGCUCUCAUCUUAUGCAGCCAGUUUCGGCAAAGUAUUACUUUGUGAGGAGUAAAGCAAUCCGUGAUGUGGAAAGACACCAGAUAAUUAUAUGGUGCUGCCUGAACCACUAGCCUCAAUGUUCCGAGAGAUCGAACAGGAGUCUCAUUGAAGGUGUGGAGGUAAAUGGGAUUUAUAGUGACUUUAGGAACUUCUAAGAAGCUAAAAAAUUAUCCCCUUUUGUUUAAGUGAGUUUUGGGUUAUAUUGAGUUUUGAAAAAAAAAUGUUCAUGGUUAUGAGUUUUCAUGUAUGUUCUUCAUUUGUUCUUGAUGUUCAUCACAAAAACAAAGGUUUGGAUGUUUUGACUCCAAAUUACAAUGUGCUUUAUUUAAUUUUUGUUUAUCUUGGUUUGUGUGAUUAGAUUGACACUUUUCCACUCAUAAAUAUCUCACUCAUUCUCUCACUUACACCAAAUCGGCCGCUCUUGUUAGUAGGUUCAUUUAUGACUUUCUUACAAUUGUAUAAAAUUUUUAUACUUUUAUAUAUUUUUACAGUGACCCAAAUGUUUAUAUUUUUACAUAAAUGCCCAAAAUCACUAAAAGACAAAUUGUUUUGUUCUUUAAUUAAGUUUUUGUGAUUGUUUAAAUUUUUGGGUUCUAGUUGUAAUAACAUGAAGUUGUGAACAUUUAUGUAUUUACAAAGUGACCCCAAAGUUUAUAUUUUGCAUAAUAGCCCAAAAAUUGAGGUUAUUGAAUAAUUAGGUAGAGAACAAAAUAGUUUUGUCUCGUUAAAUGAGAAUUAGAUUUUUAUUUCAUUUAGCUCCAUUGAAUCAAUCCUAUGGAUCCAAAAAACCAAUUGCUUAAAUUGCUUUCUUAACUAAUGUAAUUAAUUACGAAAAUGGUGAUUAUGAACCAAAGGCCUACAAUAAUUGAGUUAUGUGAUUGGCCAUUUUUCAUUAUGAAUUAAUGGGAUGUGUAGAUUAGAUUUCCCUGCAAUUUGAUUUGAUCAAAUGUUAAAGUCUUAUUUAGUUUAAUGAAAGGGUAAUGUUUAUUGUUAAUCACCAUUUACUGUAUUAUGUGUAUAAGCAUUAAUAGAAUUCAAGAAAUGUAAUCAACCUAAGAGAUAAAGUGAUCUUUGUAAGUUAGAUCAACGUGAUCUUUCUCUUACGUUCAUUCCUAAAACGUUCCCCUUCAAGGAUUGUCGAUUGGGCAUAUUAACAAUCUGCUAUUCCUAAAACGUUCCUCUAGGUUAUUCAUCUUGUCUUCACACUACGUCAUUGGUGUGGAGACUUAGAGGUUUUCUACUUUGAAAGAUUUGGAGAUCAUUUUUCACCAAAAUCUUAAGAAGCAAAGGAAGAAGUAAGGAAGCAAAGAUGCAAGGAAAGAAAAUCCAUGGCACAAAGGAACAUCCAAGGAGCUUGGAGUGAAAUGUCGUGAAAUGGCGUCGACAAACCUACAGGAAGUCGUAUCCAAAAUGCGGGGAAUUGGGUCACCUGGGUCUGGUUUCCAAAAAGGGAAAGCCGGCUCCUACUUGGCUUACCAUAUAUUAGGCCUGGCAAACGGGUCGUGUCAGUCGUGUUCGUAUCGUUUUCGUGUAACACCUGUUAUCUUAACGGGUCGUGUCGUGUCACACCCGUUAUCUUAACGGGUCCUUAACAGGUCGUGUCACUUUACCCAACGGGUAAAGUGACCCGACCCGUUAUGACCCGUUAUGACCCGUUAAGAAAAAUAUAUUUUUUUACUUAAAUUUGCACAUACCACACAUUGCCACAUAAAUAUUACUUCAAAACAUUAAAACACAUUUGUCGUUUAAGUACUACAUCUACACUCGAAAAUAAGAGCCUAAUAAAAAAAUAAUACAUACACUACUAAUCUAUUACAAAUUUUAAAUGUGCAAGGAUAUGCAAAAUGAAACAGUUUUUGUUUUCAAGGUUGUGAAAUCUUUCUCAAAAGUUUAAACCUCAAUUUACAAAAUCCUCGAUUUACAUCGAUCAUCAUGAAAUUGCAUUGGAACUUUGGCUUGAUCUAUUACCUUCAAGAGUUAUGUUGAUGAUGUUUUCAGUAAGGCUUUCCACGUCAUAACUAUCUUCUGCAUAAACUAAGCAUAGAAAAACCAAACAUUAAAAAUCAUUCAAAUUAUGAGAAGUUUACCAAAAUAAUUAUGAAAAAAAAAAUAAAACAAUAGUACUAUACCAUACUUUUAUUAAGUAUAAACAUAAGAUUUUGUGGUAUCCACUAGUGUAAAUAUUUUAAAUUGAAGAUCGAAUUCAAUCAUUGUAUUCAUAUAAGGUCAAGGAGUGUAGUUGUAAAAAAUCAUCAAAAUCGGAGUUAAAUUAACCGUUAAAUCGUAAUUUUUCGUUUAUAACCGUCGAAAAGUUUUGUCCCGUUACGUGCUCUCUGAAUGUUUGUUUUUUGCAAUUUUUGGCGUAUGCGAUCUCGAAAUAUAUACAAACAUGUUUGACGGUUGGAUCAUUGAAACUAGUUUCGUAGAAUGAGUAUCCCAUCAAAACAAUAGAUUCACUAAUACUUAAGAGUUUAUUCAUACUUUUAUUAAGUAUAACAUAAGAUUUUGUGGUUUCCACUAGUGUAAAUAUUUUUAAAUUGAAGAUCGAAUUCAAUCAUUGUAUUCAUAUAGGGUCAAGGAGUGUGUAGUUGUAAAAAAUCAUCAAAAUUGGAGUUAAAAUGACCGUUAAAUGGUGAUUUUUCGUUUAUAACCGUCGAAAAGUUUUGUCCCGUUACUUGAUCCCUGAAUGUUUUUUUUUUGCAAUUUUUGGCGUAUGCAAUCUCGAAGUAUAUAUAAAACAUGUUUGACGGUUGGAUCAUUGAAACUAGUUUCGUAGAAUGAGUAUCCCAUCAAAACAAUAGAUUCACUAAUACUUAAUAGUUUAUUCAUACUUUUAUUAAGUAUAAUAUAAGAUUUUGUGGUAUCCACUAGUGUAAAUAUUUUAAAUUGAAGAUCGAAUUCAAUCAUUGUAUUCAUAUAGGGUCAAGGAGUGUGGUUGUAAAAAAACAUCAAAAUCGGAGUUAAAAUGACCGUUAAAUCGUGAUUUUUCGUUUAUAACCGUCGAAAAGUUUUGUCCCGUUAAUUGAUCUCUGAAUAUUUGUUUUUUGUAAUUUUUGACGUAUGCGAUCUUGAAGUAUAUACAAACAUGUUUGACGGUUGGAUCUUUGAAACUAGUUUCGUAGAAUGAGUAUCCCAUCAAAACAAUAGAUUCACUAAUACGUAAUAGUUUAUUCAUACUUUUAUUAAGUAUAAUAUAAGAUUUUGUGGUUUCCACUAGUGUAAAUAUUUUAAAUUGAAGAUCGAAUUCAAUCAUUGUAUUCAUAUAAGGUCAAGGAGUGUAGCUGCAAAAAAUCAUCAAAAUCAGAGUUAAAAUGACCGUUAAAUCGUGAUUUUUCUUUUUAUAACCGUCGAAAAUUUUUGUCCCGUUAAUUGAUCUCUGAAUGUUUGUUUUUUGUAAUUUUUGACGUAUGCGAUCUCGAAGUAUAUACAAACAUGUUUGACAGUUGGAUCUUUGAAAUUAGUUUCGUAGAAUGAGUAUCCCAUCAAAACAAUAGAUUCACUAAUACUUAAUAGUUUAUUCAUACUUUUAUUAAGUAUAACAUAAGAUUUUGUGGUAUCCACUAGUGUAAAUAUUUUAAAUUGAAGAUCGAAUUCAAUCAUUGUAUUCAUAUAAGGUCAAGGAGUGUAGUUGUAAAAAAUCAUCAAAUCGGAGUUAAAUUAAUAACCGUUAAAAUCGUUGAUUUUCGUUUAUAACCGUCGAAAAGUUUUGUUCGCCUGUUACAGUGCUCUCUGAAAUGUUUUGUUUUGCAAGUUUUGGUGUAAACGCAUCUCGAAUAUAUACAGAACAUGUUGGACGGAUUGGAAUUAUGAAACUAGUUUCGUAGAAUGAGUAUAAGUUAAUAACAAUAGAUGUUCACUAAUACUUAAGAGUUCUAUAAUCAUGACAUUUAUUAAUGAGUGUAACCGUAGUACGAGGUGCAAAUAAUUUGAUACACAACAGUGUAAUAAGCGUAAUUUUUAAAAUGGAAGAUCGAAUUCAAAUCAUUGUAUUCAUAUACGUAAGCAGUCGGAGUUGAGUAAAAAAUCAUCAAAAAUCGAAUUAAAUAACCGUUAAAUCGUGAUUUUCGUUUGUAUAACCGUCGAAUAAGUUUUGUCCUGUUAUGCUCUCUGAAGUUGUAUUAUUGUUGCAAGUUUUUGGUCAGUAUGCGACUCGAAUAGUAAACCAAAUGGUUUGAACACGAGUUGGAUCAUUGAAACUAGUCUUUCGUAGAAAUGAAGUAUCAUCAAAACAGUAUGAUCACUAAUACUUAAGACGUUUUAAUUCAUACUUUUAUUCGAAGUAUGAACAUAGAUUUGUGUAUCGACUAGUGUAAAUAUGUUAAGAUUGAAGAUCGAAUUCCAAUCAUGUGAUAAUUCAUUAUAAUGGUCAAAGGAGUGUAGAGACUGAAAAAUCAUCAAAUCAGAAUAAAACUGACCGUUAACAUGCCAGAUUUUCUUUUUAUAACCUCCGAAAAGUUUUGGUCCCGUAAUUGUCCUGAAUGUGUUUGUUUUUGUAUUUUUGACGUAUGCGAUCUGUCGAAGUAUAAGUACAAACAUGUUUGAUCCCGUUGGAUCUUUUGAAACAAUCAGUUUUCGAGAAUAGAGUAUCCCUCAAAAAACAAUAGAUACUAAUACUUAAUAGUUUAUCAAAACUUUUUAUUCAAGUAGUACACAAGAGAUUUUGUGGCAAUCCACUAGUGUAUUAAUAUGUUAGCAAUUCUGAGAUCGAAUUCAUUAUCGUUGUUAUGUCAAUAUAGGUCAAGGUUGUAGCUUUGUAAAAAACACAUCAAAAUCGGAGUUAAAUAACCGUUAAUUCGUUACGGAUUUUCUUGUUCUAUCCGCUCGAAGCAAGCUUUUGUCCAUUACAUUGAGUCUCUGCAAUGUUUGUUUUUUUGCAAUUUGUUGGUCGUAUGGAGGAUCUCGAGGAAUAUAUAACGAAGCAGACGGUUGAUCAAUAGGAGAUAAACUAGUUUUGUAGAAUGGAGAUUCCCAUCAAAACAAUGACGAUUUCAACUUAAGAGUUUGAUUCAUGACUUUUUUAUUAAAAUAGAAUCAAGAAUUUUGUGGUAGCCUACUUAGUGUAUUCUUUAUAAGAUAUAAUCUUACAAUCAAUAAAGUCAAGAGUGGUUGGUGGUAAAAAACGAUGCGCAUCAGAGAAGUUAAAGAUGGACCGUAAAAUCAUGAUUCCAUAACCGUUCGAAAAAAUUGAACCGUUAAACUUCGCUUCUGAAUGUUUUGUUUUUUUCAAUUGCAUGGAGGGCCGAGGUGCAUCUUCGGAGUAUAAUCCCGUUACUGGCAUCGGGGGUUGAAUUAUUUUUUUAAUUUUCCUGAAGUUCCGAGGUGGUGCGGUGUAUAGAAUAAUAAAAAUUUGAUUAUAAGAGGUUCUAACAUUAUUUAUGUUUGUAUAAUAAGUACUGAAUAUGAUAGUUAGGGAAAAGUUAAAUAUAUAGAAUAAAUACAUUAAGAUAUUGUUGGUUAAAGGAAAUGUGUAUACAAAAGUAUAUAAAUUUUGGUAGUAGAUUAUUGGUUUCUUGGUAAAACGGUUAAAAUAUAUAAUAUGAAAUUAUAUAUAUAUUAUUGAAUAGGGUUUUUAGGGAAAAACUUGUGGGGUAAUAAAUCAAUACUAUCAUAGAAAUUAUAUAUUUUGUUUAGGGUGUAUAAUUGAUGUAAUUAAUUUACUGCUUAUCGUAGUAUCCGGGUUACCGCAGCGUGUAUAUAGCGAAAAGACCACGUUAUUUUAUGCUUAUCGAGUUACCCGAUAACGACGCGUUCCGUUAAUCGUGUGACGGGCCGAAUACACGCUACUUAAAAUUUCGAGGUGAUUCCUUGUCGUGUCGUGGUUAUCGUACGGGUGACCGCUGGUAAAGAAUUGCCAGGCUACCGAUAUAGACUAAUGAGUUAAAAGACAAGAUUUCCGUCUAACGCUUUGCUAUGUAAUAUGGAAAUCCUUCACUACAACUCCGUUUUGUGAACUGUUUUCACCUACGGUUUUGAAUACAAUGGACAAUACGUCGUGAUUAACCGGUGGCAAUCUCUUUACUGAUGUUACUGUCAUAACUCGGUGUUAACAGUUUUGACCUUUGCCGUAAAAAGGUCAGAAUUACAGUAAGAGGAAAGCAGCAGUUCUCUAAGGCUGAGACAAGUUUGGUGGUGGCGUGGGGGUGGGGGUGGUUUCGAAUCAAUGGGCCAGCUUCAAAUUUUACCAUAUAUAUGAGGACGAACCUACGGACCUGACUGCAACAUCUAGUAAAUGCUCAUUCAACAGACUAUAGGCUUCUGUACAGAAAACAUUUAUUGAAAAAAAAAAGGGGCAUUUCCAAAUCUAAAAGCUUUCUAAUUCUUAAUGGAACGGAAGUAUGUAUGAAUGUGUGCUUAAGUUUUUGUUUUGGUUAUGUCAUAACUUCAUAGAAAAAGUGAGAAGACAUACAAAGACAUUGGAAUUGAGCUCACUGGUUAGUAGGCUAAUGGUUUCACUAGAGUUCCAAAAAAUAAGGCACACAAGCUCAUAAAAACGAAACUGAAAUAAAAGAUUUGAAGAGAAAUACUGGAUGUGUGAUUAUUCUGAUAUACUCCCACCACUCUGCGGAAAUUGGAUCGAGGUUUAGGUUGGCUAAUUGUAAGCCGUUGACUUAGUGAUUUUAGUCCACACCUGUGGUGGUGCAUGAAUCUCAAAGUUGAUUAGUCAUUUUCUGGGCGCAUACGUCCUUGUCUUACGGCUUCAGACUCUCCAUGAUCAUAAGCAGUUUUCUUUUAAAAUCAGUACCAUCACGUAAUAAUAUCUAAUAAAUAUAUAAUUUAACAUCUCACAUCGUUUAAGGAAGUGAAUUCUGUAAGUCUUAUAUAUAUAUUAUCAUCUCUACUUAGCACGAGGUUUUUUGGAAACUCAUUGGCUUUGGGUUCCAUCGGAAUUCCAAAGUUAAACGAGUUGGGACGAGAACAUAUCCCUGAGGAUAGGUGAUCACUAGAAGUUCUCGUGUGAGUUCCCGCAAAAACAAAACCGGUGAAGGCAGGUCCGGAUAGUCGGGAGCUAUAAAGCCGGACAAUAUCGUGCUACGGCAGAGUCGAUCCCGAAAUAUGAUGGGGCCCGGAUCGGAAUGUGACAUAUAAUAUAUUAUUUAAAUACAGGACAAUCAUCUAAACUAUCCGUUCUACAACUAAUUAAAACAGUACAUUGGUUCCAAGAGAAGUUCUCUCAUGAUCGCUAUUUUUUCAAUAAUCCGUAAUAAUAGGAAAGGAACCGGAUCCUAGUUAUAUUCUUUCAAAAUUAAAUAACAUGUAAUCUUCUUGUUGUGAGAACAAAAGGAGAAGAUCCCUCUAGAGAUCCAAGUAAAAUGAGGUCUUCCUGAGGCCAAGCGUCUGGACCGUUUAAUAAUUUGAUUAAAACGGUGUACAAUAGCGAAUCCUCUAAAAAUUAUAAUAAUUAUAGUCGUUAGAUCAAAUUUUAACAGUUCGGAUCGCCUGCUCGGCAGAUUCAAUAUAUAUGAAUCUAGAGGAAUCCGAUUCCGUGAACAAAAGCCCAUAUUUGGAAGGGAUGUGCUAUUCACAUACCCAUUUUUACUUCUUACACACUCUUUGUUAAUUUCGCCAUUUGAUCUUCUUUAAUUCACGAGUCGACGGAAUUAAAAAGGAGUGUAGGUCUAGUAAAGAAGAGGUGUGUGGAUAUCACAUUCCUAUUUGGAAAUAAAUGUAUGUGAUGGCUACCAGGUAGACUAGUAUAGGAAUUGCUGUGGGUGAGUAAGUAGUUGCGGAGGGCGACGAAACUUUCAGACCUAAAGACAAAAUAUUAAUGUUGAGGGGUCAAUUCCAAUUUCUACCAGGAGCAGGAGGUUUCUCAGAGUGUUUAGAGGCAUCGGGCUGACAUGUACCUGUGACUCCAAGAUUGAUCAGACACUGCAACAAAUCUACCUAAAGAACUCGGAUAAUGCUAAUAAAAUUAACUAUUUAAAUUAAAUUUUAUAAACAUAUAAAUAAAGAAAAACUAAUAAAAAGAAUUUGAAAAAUUUAAGUUUUAACAAUAAAGAUAAAAUAAAAAGUAAAGUAAAUAAUACCAUAAUUGACUUUUUAGUGUAAAAAUAUGAUUGUUCGUUCAAGUGAAUAGUACGGGAAGCUUUUCUUUAAAGUUUACUAUAAAUAAUUGUUGAUAUUUAAAUUAUUUAACAAAUUUUGCUUAACGUAUUUAUUAUUUAUUGAUGAUGCGUAUAAUUUAUAAAUAUUAACUAAAAAAUUAGUCUAACUAGCUUAUUACUCCGAAAAACUUGCAAGGCUAACAAGCCACUUGGGUUUCACAGAAUAAAACAAAUUAAGUGCUCUCGACAAGCAAAGGGAUUCUUCAGCAGUUACAUCAGUCCUGUGUUGAAACACGAUUUGACAUGACCCACUAGUUCCUACAGGCCAAAACCUAACUGUCAUUUAAUUGAUUAAGGGUAAUGUUAGUGACACACGCCAACCGAGAUCGAGGCAUGCUGAUCGUCACGUGAGGGUGACGUAGCCAUGUGCACAAUGCAUAAUUAAUAAUGAUACUAGAGAGUACGAAUAAAUAAAAACCAACUCAUAAGAGUACUAGUUAAGACAAGUACUAGAAUAUGUGUGAAUACACAAUUAGAGUGUAAGUAGCCUAAGCUCAGUCCAGAAGACAAGGACUAAUUAAACGACACCCAAAGAUGCCCUACAUUUGUGAUAAUCUGUUAGAACCUCCACUAAUCCUCGUGAGCCACCAACGAACAAGCUUAUCUAAAACCUGGAGGGGCGCAAAACAGAAAGUGUGAGUAGGCAAAAAUAAAGCUUUUCAAAACCAUUUCAUUAUCAAAUGCUAUAACCCCUCGCCGUAAAACAUGUAUAAUUUUCCUAGAAAUAGAAUAUAUAUAUAUAUAUAUAUAUAUAUAUAUAUAUAUAUAUAUAUUCAAAUCAUGCUUCACAUAUCCAUAUUCAUAAUUAUGCCAUACCAAAAUAUAAAAUAGAAUAAGUAACUAAGGUGAAAAUAAAUUCAUGGUAAAAUAACAUAUUAGCCGAAACUCCUGCAGAAGUCUGUACGGCUGAAUUCAUAGCUCAUUAGUCAAUCUAGCCGGAGUCACCGUAAGUGACCUAUACGACACUACACUGCACACGAGUCUGAACCACUGUAAUGAUCUGUACAACAAGACUGGGUGUAAUAUAAUUAUGCUCAUUACUACGUUAUCAUUAUAGCUGUGCGAUAAAUCGCUAGUCACCUACGAGUCGGAACCACCUAUAAUGGUUUGUACGACAAGACUGUGCACCUAAAUUGGAUCCAAUGUGAGCAUAGGGUGUAGGAUGUGACAUCAUAAACAAGCCUAUACCAUAUCUCUGGCUAAAUCACAAUCACCCGGUGUGCAGGUUUAUGAGCUCUCAAUUAUGUCUCACAUUAUCAAUAUCUCAUAUAACAAAACAUAACUCACCUGGUACUUACUUGAGCGUCCACAGCACCAAUUCAUAUUAUGCAUCAAAUACUAAAUCACAUGCUGAAUAUAAAUUUAUAUGCAUGGCAUUUCAAAGCAUAUUUUCAUUUAAACACAUUUUCUGGGAAAAUAUCAAGUAUAUAAUUAUUUACUGAAAACCAAAAACCCACUCACUGGUAUGUCGAAGGGUCGUAGCCCCCGAGCCGCCCUUGAUUGCGCUCGUCCUCAGGAUAGGUCUCACUUAUAUACGAAAUAACUGACGGCAUCAGAAUAUUCCGUUAACUUUGACAGAAUAUUUUAUCUUCUUCUUUAGCUAGCCUAGCUGGUCGCCAUCCGCCAUAAACUAUUUUGGAACCUAAAAUCCACAGAAAUUUGCCAGAGAACCUUCAAUAAUCCGGCCAAUCUUCAAAUGCAUCGAUCUCGACUUCCCGACGUCCAAAUCAUGUUAUUUUUCUUCUUCAAGCUUCGUGGAGAGGUCCCUAAGCUCCCUAUAAGCUUGAAAUCCUCUAAAAUUCAUGCAUUUACGAUUGCAUGAACAGUGCUCAAACCGGAGGUUAUGGUUUCUCGGGUUUUUCGAAGCUUUCACGUCCAAAAAUGGUAUAGAUGGGUUUGUGACGAUGAGAUGAAGAUGAUGAUGGUGUUUACAAGCUCAAUUUGUGACGAGAAGUGAAGCUUCAAGGUUGUUCGUACGACUUGUACGGAAGAUAGAAGAAAUUCGAGAGGGAAGAGAGAGAGAGUCAACGGGAGAGAGAUAGAGUGUGUGUGUGUGUGGUCCAUGUGGGUCACCAACCAAAACCAAAGAAAAUACCAUCUAAGUCCUAAUUGGUUCCAAAAUAAUAGGACUUAGCACUAAUUGGUCCAAAAUCUAACCUACCACACCACCACACAAAACGUCCAAGGGUAUAUAAGUAAUUUCACACCGUCGAAAAUAAAUAUUUCGGGACGGGCUGUCACAAUAUACCCCCCUUAAGAAAAUUUCAUCCUCAAAAUUUAUACGCAACAAAUACAUCUACUAAUAGCCAUAAAACAAUCGUGGAUACAUCUCUCUCAUCCGAUAUUCUGUCUCCCAGGUAGCCUCUUCCACUAAAUGAUUUCUCCAUAGAACUUUCACCAGGUACAUAGUUUUAUUUCUCAAAAUUUUAUCUUUCCAAUCCAAAAUAGUCACUCGCUCCUCAUUGUAAGUCAAAUCCGAAUUAAUUUCCAAUGGUUGAAGAGGUAUCACAUGUCAAGAAUCUGAGACAUAAUGUCGAAGCAUAGAAACAUGAAACACAUCGUGCACUUUAGACAAUUCUGGAGGCAAUUGAAGCAUGUAUGCAACUUCACUGACUCGUUUAGUGAUCCGAUACGGUCUGAUGUACCUAGGGCUUAGCUUACCCUUUUUCCCAAACCGUACCACACCUCUCCACGGUGACAACUUCAAAAAUACCCAAUCGUUAACUUUAUACACUGUAUCAGUAGCAUGCUUGUUUGCCAGACCCUUCUGACGAUGCUAGGCCGCUUUCAGGUUAGACUUAAUUACCUGAAUAUUCUAAGUAGUUUCAUCCAUAAUCUCUAGGCCCACCAAAACUCUUUCACCAACUUCUGACCAGCAUAAUGGUGUUCGACAAGACUUGCCAUAGAGUGCCUUAAAUGGUGCCAUACCAAUACUCGAAUGGUAAUUGUUGUUGUAUGCGAACUCCAUCAAAUCCAAACAAUCAUGCCAACCAUCACCAAACUGCAGCACUGAAGAUCUUAGCAUGUCCUCUAAUGUCUAAAUAGUCCUAUCAGACUACCCAUCUGUUUGAGGAUGAUAUGUCGUACUAUAAAGUAAUCUCUUACCAAGAGCUUCCUGGAACGCUACCAAGAACUUAGAAGUGAAUCUAGGAUCCCGAUCCGAGAUAAUAUCAACUGGAACACCACGGUGUUGGAAAUGUGCCCUAAAACCAAUCAUAUGAUGAUACUUUACGGACAUUUCGCAUGUUAAACUAAUCUAGUUUAACUAUAAAGGGCAAAGAUUAUUGUUUGAGCCGUCUCAUAUAAAUGUUAUAUGCUUAAACGAUAAAGUCCAAGGAAUAUGUGAUUGGGAGAAUGCGAUCUAAAGAAGUUAGAUUCAUGAGACCAUUCUUUUGUAGACACAUCCUAAACGUUCCUGAUCAUAGGAUUGCCAAUUGGGCAUUGACAGUCCGUUAAGAUCAGUACGUGCUGUAUCUUCUCUCAGGGAGAGUGACUAGUCUCGAGUCAUUGGUGUGUGUGACAUCAAGACAAGUACGUAGGUGCUCAAUAGAGAAUGAGUUCACUGAACACGAUCAACGAAGAGUUCUCAUAUUCAUGUCACAUGAGAAUUCAUGGUUGGGAUAAUGCAAAGUAGUCCUUUGACCUGAGGCAUCAUCUUUGUCUUGUGGUUAAGUCCUUGAUCUUUGAUUAUGUCAAACGUCAUUCCAUUGGAGUGUCCACGGCAUCGUUGGGGUUAAGCCACUUAGCCAUGGAGGCAAGUGAAUGCGCAACAAGGGAUCUCUAACCUUCAAACUGUUUGAGGGAGAAUACUCUAUGAUAUGAUUUAGAAUCUCUGGCCAGAGUAUGAAUGAGAUUUAGGAAUGCGUUCCAAAUCACAUUCAAGGUAAUCAUAUAAGCACACGAAUCACAUUGGAUAGUAGACAUGAAUAAAUAAACUAUCAAACCAAACAAUGUGGUCAAGAGUAUUGUAUUAGAGAAAGACCGUAUUGCAUUUGUAAUCCUAAACUGAAUAGGUUCUCCACCUCUUCUGAUUAGCUUGGGUAACCAUGAUAUGCUGCUAGGUGUCACUCUUGGUUUGUGGAAGCCCUAAAUGUGUAUAAUCACUAAAGGGAGAAUUGAAAGUAAGUUUCAAUUCACAAUCGAUUUGAAAGAGUUUGAAAUCGCCCACUGCCUCGCUAAAAGGAACCUAAUGGAUCGUACACCGUGUAAGGUGGAGAUUGAAGAAACAAUGGAGAUGAGUAAGAAUAAUUAAAUGGUUUAAUUAUUUAUGGCAAGGAUUAAUUAAUAUGUUAAUUAAUCAAACGAAUAAGUUCGUUAAAGACCUCGGGAUAGUUUUGGACGUUUAGGCCCAAUGGGCUUCGAACGUCAAGCCCAUUGACUUAAGUUGUAUGACAACUUAAUUCACAAAAGCCCAAAAGCCCAAACAACACCCUAAGGCCGGCCAUAUGGUUAAGGGUAGUGAACUUGGACUUAUUUACAAGUUUGCCACUCAAAUGAAUAAAGGUAUAAAUAUGACUUUAUAGCCAAAAUUCAUUAAGGGUUUUGUUUUGGAGAAAAUUGGAGAGAACAUGUCUCUCCAUUUCUCUCUAAAGAGGCCGGCCCCUUGGAGGGUGCAUCUAGCAAUCCCACUACUCCAAGGUCACUCAUUUCUUCUCCAAUCUAACCUUGGUGAAGAUACUUAGAGGUUCUCUAUUUUGGGAACUUGGAGAAUCCUAUUCUUCCAUCCAAAUCCAUAGAUUUAAUAUGCAAGGAAUGAAGGCCCUCUCUUUGGGUGAUUAGCCUUUGCUUAUGCAAAGAGGAAUCUACAAAGGUAUAUUUCUCAACUCACUUUGAUUUGAGUUGAGUCUUGGUUCACCAAUCUACUAGGCUUUGAAUUUCAUGGUUAAUGUUUUGUUUUUAAGUGCAUGCAAGCAUGAUUCCGCCUUUAAUUGUUAAUUGCAUGCUUAUUGAUGUUGCUUAAAUGAACAUGUUUUCACAAAAUCAUCCUUCACACGGUACUUUACAAUCUUCGAUAUAAAUAACUUAGCUAAUCAGCUUAAUGAAUAUUUUUCCCUCCAUGGAAUAAAGUGUGCUGACUUAGUGAGCCGAUCAACUAUCACCCAAAUGUCGUCAUAACCAUUAUGUGUACGAGGAAGUUUGUACAUGAAAUCCAUAGUAAUAUUUUCCCAUUUCCACUAUGGAAUGGGAAGUGGUUGCAUCAAUCCAAAAGGUUUCUUUCUUUCUGCUUUAACUUGCUGACAAAUAACACUCCUACUCACAUACUCAGCAAUUUCUCUUUUCAUACCUGGCCAAUAAUAAAAUGGUCGAAUGGUAUGAUACAUCUUGGUACCUCUUGGAUGCAUUGCAUAUGCCGAAAUAUGCGCUUCAUCAAGGAUUUCUUUCUUUAACUUUGCAUUAUUCAACAUAUACAUUCUGUUCUCUUGCAUAAGCAUGCCAUCAAUUUCUCAAAUUCUGUAAUCUUUCUUCUUGCCUCGAUUUCUUUCUUGAAUUAUUUCUCGGGUCUCUUCGUCAUUCAUUUGAGCUUCAAGCACACAAUCAAUUAAAAUUGGCCUAACUUGAAAAUUCGCAAGUAAGACUUCCUCUCGAUCUUCCAUUCCUAACUCCACUCCAGUCGACCUCAAAUCUGCAAGAAGAGGAACAUGACAAUCAUAGAUGGCAUUAAGUCUAGCUGGAGUCUUCCUACUAAGUGCAUCUACCACUGCAUUUGCACGACUAGGGUGAUACUCAAUCGUGCAAUCAUAAUCGCUAAGCAACUCAAUCCAUCUUUGCUGCCGAAGAUUUAGAUCCAUCUGAGUAAAAAGAUACUGAUGACUCUUAUGAUCCAUGAAGAUCUUACAUUUCUCACCAUAAAGAUAAUGUCUCCAAAUCUUUAAAGCAAAGAUGAUAGCCGCUUACUCCAGAUCAUGAGUAUGGUAAUUCUUCUCAUGAGGCUUCAAUUGCCAUGACGCAUAAACAAUCACCCUACCAUGUUGCAUCAACACACAUCCCAACCCAUUCAAGGAAGUGUCACUAUAGACUUCAAAAUCACCACUAUCGUUAGGAAGCAUCAAAACAGGUGCAUGAGUGAGACAAUACUUUAAUUCCUGAAAACUUUGCUCACAAUUAUUAUUCCACUCAAACUUAACAUCCUUCCUGGUUAACCUCAUUAAGGGUUAUGCAAUAACAGAGAAAUAUUUAACAAACCGUCUGUAAUAACCUACUAAGCCAAGAAAACUCCGUACCUCAGUGACGGUUUGUGAUUGUUCCCAAUUCUCCACAGCUGUUGUCUUUUGAGUAUCCACUCGAAUACCUUGAGCUAAUAUAACAUGUCCCAAAAAAUGCCACUUGAUCUAACCAGAAUUGGCAUUUGCUAAACUUAGCAUAUAAUUGGUGUUCCCUCAAACUUUUCAACACCAAUUUAAGAUGUCUAGCAUGCUUUGCUCUAGACUUAGAGUAUACCAGAAUAUCAUCAAUGAAGACAAUGACAAACCUGUCCAAAUAUGGCUGGAAUUCUUGAUUCAUUAAAUCCAUGAAAGCUGCUGGUAUAUUAGUCAACCCGAAUGGCAUCACAAGAAACUCGUAAUGACCAUAUCGAGUCCUAAAAGCUGUUUUAGGGAUAACUUCACUUUUAAUCUUCAAUUGGUAGUAAACAGACCUUAAGUCAAUCUUAAAGAACACAUAGGCACCUCGGAGUUGAUCAAACAAAUCAUCUAUACGUGGCAACAGAUAACGGUUCUUAAUUGUUACUCGAUUCAAUUGCCUGUAAUCAAUGCAUAGCCUCAAAGUUUCGUCUUUCUUCCUCACGAAUAAAAUUGGAGCUCCCCAGGGUGAAGUAGUAGGCUGAAUAAAACCUUUAUCCACCAAUUCCUGCAACUGAACUUUCAAUUCCCUCGAUUCAGCAUGAGCCAUUCUAUAAGGAGUCAAAGAUAGGAUCAAUACCUGGAAGCAAAUCAAUAGUGAACUCCACAUCUUUAUCUGACGACAAUCCAGGUAAAUCAUUCUGAAAUACGUCAAGAAAAUGCCUGACUACUCGUACAUCCUCCACACUACUAGGAGUAUUAUCAUUCAACACCACAUGAGCCAAACAUCCCUGACAACCCUUCGACAACAAUCUUUUGGCUUUCAUGGCAGAAAUAACACCAUGCCUCACCCCGCUAGGCUCUCCCACAAAUGUAACUUCAAGUAAUCCAGGACGAUGGAAAGUAACUAUCUUUCCAUAACAAUCUAUCUUGACACGAUUGUAGUGUAACCAAUUAGUGCCCAGAAUCACAUCAAAAUCAACAAUGUCUAACGGAAUAAGGUUAGCUGGCAUGACGACAUCUUCCACCAUCAUUGGACAUCCUGGAUAUAUGAUAUGAUAUUAACUAGCACUCAAAUUAACCCUCUUUUUAUCAAUUGUAGUAAGUAUGUAAGUAGGGAUCGUUCUAGGCCGAGGAUUAGGAGGGAUUGCUAAAUCACUUGAAAACUGACUCAAAAACGUAAAAACAAAGUUUAAAACACUAAACUAGACUCAAAGAAUGUAAAACUAUAACUUAAAACACCAAAACAAACCAAACGACUCAAAAUAACACAAAAACACUCAAAACUGCCUUAAAACCACUUUCUGGGCAGUUUUGAACUCUAAACAAGAUUUUGACGAAAAUAGGUUUUAACUUGACUCAAAACACUUAAAAACACAAACUAACACACUCUCUAACUAAUUUGACACUUGAAAACAAAGGGGGAUUUGGUUUUUACGAAAUUGAAAACAAAACAUAAACUUGUAAAUCAAAACAGAUUUUAAAACGAAUUUGAUUGAAUUGAAUGGAUAGAAAGCUAGCUAAGGGGUUCAUCUCCACACAUGUUAUACUUGCAUUCACAACGAUUUCGAAUUGCUUUUCAAUAACCCAUGAAUUCUCAACGCCCCAAGUUAAUUAGGUCCGCUUAAAUUAACCUUCAGAUUUUCCUAACGUUAUUGAAUUGGAUGAUUGCAUACGACAACCCAAAGCAUUCCCCAUAAGUCCCCUACAUGAUUGCAUAAUAGAGAUACAAUCAAGAAUCAUUAAGUUCUAUGAAAACCAUAAGCAUUGACGAAGCACUUGUUACUAUGAUUGCAUGAAACUUAUGCCAAGAAUUUACUUAACGCGAUUGAGAUAAUCAACCCUUACUACUUGUGAAUAUAAGUCCAUAACGAUUAGGUGAAAUUUCCUUAUAUCCUAGCAUCAAAUUCAUGCAUGCAAAUUAAGUGUCGACCCUCAACCAACAUACACAAAUCAGUUUUAACUCUUGUAGAUAAGUAAAUUGAAUUCACAACUUAUGAAACGCAAUUAGAAGUAAUCAAAUCAUAUAGCAAGCAUAAACAUGGUUUCGAAUCCCCCCCUAGCCAAGGGGGGUUUAGUUCCUCAUACUCGCAAAGCAAAGAUACAUAAAUUUAGAAAUUAAAAUCCAAAGAAAGAAAACACCUAGAACGCUCCAACUUGGCAGCAAGCGCAUCCAAGAAUUCUCCUUCCUCCUUGCUACGGCAGAGAAGUUUAGAACAGGUUUUUGGGGUUAUUUGUGGUGUAGAAUGGAUGGGGAAUGGUAUGGAAAGGUGUAGGGUUGAUGGGUGGUGCGGCUAGGGAUGAUUUUGGGCAGAAAAUAUGGAAUAUGGUGGGUGGAAAAGGUGCGGCAAAGAGAGCCUCUUUGUUUCUGACGUGAAUGAUGUAUAUGGGAGGUGAUAUCUCCUGCCAAAAGGGUUUAAUGAGUAUAUAUAGGCACUUCAAAACCCUAGCAAUCAGAUUAGGGUUUCUAGAAGCCCAAAUCCACCAGAAAUUAGGUUAAAACAAUCAGAUUUUUAGUGGGAAUAAGGCCUAAGGUGCUGCUAGGGUUAGGGUUUAGAGAUGGGCCUUCUAGAAUGCCUUGCAAGGCAAGGAAAUCAGAUAUUCUAGAGGCCUAGGUGCGGCUAGGGUUAGGGUCCACAAGGAAUUAGGGUUUAGGUCAUCUAAAAGCCCAAAGCCAAGAAUAGAAACUCUCGAAAAUGGAAACCUCCAAGAAUAGAAACUUCCAACUUUAGAAACUUUGGUUUCCAAAUCUGAAUUCUUUGUUCUUCACUUUCAUUUCUUCAUUUCUUAAGCUCCCUUGACCUUCAAACUCGUCCAUUCCUUGUGCUCCAUUAGCAUACACUCCAUUCCAGCUCAAUUUUGCUCUAAAAUGCUUCAUUUUGCACUUCUUUGCAUACUUCGUCUCUAAACCUGAAAUUGCACGAAAAUGACUUUAAACACUAAAAUAACUAAAGAAAAACAACAUAAAUGCUUAAGAACAAGCCAACUAAGUCGCAUAAAUAUGCUCCUAUCAAAUUCCCCCACACUUAGCUUUUGCUAGUCCUCGAGCAAAACAAAGAAACAAAACAAAACAAAAACACAAUCUAAACCUUCCAACAUUUGCCUCAGGGAUUUCCAAUGCACAUGACAUGUUAAAAAUCAUCACUCCCACAGAUUUAGUCAUCUUCACACUUAAGCACAUACUUAAUCAUAGUCACCACGUACUAGUUCACAUUUAACCAAUUAAAACAUGAUUUUGAAUGUAGUAACAUGCCUUAGAGAAUGUGCUCAAUUCCUUACUAGAUAUGCACUCAAUUUUCACUCAGAUUUUCUGACUACACACCCUAUACUAGUUAUAUGUGAGAAGAUUGAUGUAAAUAUGAAAACGAAUGCUCACAUAUAUGUAUAACAAAGAAAGCACUUUUCGGAGUUAAUAAGCAUGUUUAGAUAUAAUCUCAUGAAUGGAAUGCUACUACUUAGAUGCGAGAACCAGUGACACCAUAUGCUCAUACCAAUUUUAAACUCCACAAAUUGAAACACAUAACACUCAAGAUUAAAGUCAAGGGUUGUAACGGGGCUAGGGGAGUUGGCUAACAACGAAAGGAUAGGGAAAACAAACGUUCUUUAAGCAAUAGUAAGCAAAACAAUGAAAUCAUACUCAGAAUUCCCAUUAGCAUGCAGAAAUUAACUUUUAAACACAAAGGAAAGAUUCAACAACAAUUAGGGCCGAAUUCACUGUUUUGGACCAUUCCUUCAACAAACAACACUUAAGAACUCUUUUUCACAUCUUUUCAACUCCUUUUCAUUAUUUUCACAACUUUUUCGUUCUUUUUUUUUUCUUUUUAUUUCCCACGAAAUUUUUCUUUUUCUUUUUCUUUUCUUUUUCGUGCCUCAUUCAAGACUUUGGCACACCCACAACAAAACUCACUUCCCCCACACUUGUUUUUUGCCAACAAUGACCAAAAGGAAUUCAUUUUGAGUCAUUCAUUACUAUGCUUCAAGAACGAAGGUAUGGAUGGUCCUAAUCUAGGCUAGGUGAGGAUAAUGUGGGUUAACGAAGAAAACAUAGGCUAAACAAGGCUCAACGGGGUUAAAACCUACAAAAACGACUGCAUGGAAUGAAGGCUUUUUGGCUAUGGUGGUAACUACUAACUUCAUCUUGAAUAUGUGUUAUGUAAUUCAAUAACAUGUUUUGAAUGAAAUUGGCAUGAGUUCUAGCAUUUGGAACUAAAUGAUGAAACGCCUUCUAAGUAAUAACCAAGCAAAGAAUAAUGAGAUCAUGCAACGACUUUAGAAAACAACAAUGCACAGAUUUUAACUCUCCAAAUAAACGUUUAGGCUCAAGUCUCACAAGGUUGUAGCGUUUGUUUGAGUUCCUUCCUUCAAGCAUGUUACAAAAACUAAUAAUUUUUUUUUUCUUUAUGAUUACAUGUGAAUUCAUAAGUUAUAACCACAACCAAGCAUAAACCAAAGAGUAAAUCAAACUUUUAUCCAUGUUUAUAACUCGCUUUAACAAUCAUGCAAUUACAAACCGAAUCCUCAUCAUUGUGUUGGAAGGUACCCUAAGACACAAACAAACACACAAAAACAACUCUUUUUGGGUUUUUAAAACAAUUUUUUCAAAUUUUUAUGGGAUUUUCGGAUUUUUGAAUCAAAACACACUAAAACAGCUUAAAAACACUUAAAAACAGCAAGGAACAACAUUUAGAAGUUAUGAGUGAUAAACCCUACGAAUUUGCAUCAAAAACACUUUGGUUACCCCCCCACACUUAAAUCAAACAUUGUCCUCAAUGUUUCAAGCAUAGAUGCACACAAAUAACAAACAAACAAACCAAACAACAUCUAAACAACCUAAUAUGGCAGAAACGAAAUAGCAACAAAGAGAAGGGUUUAGGAACGCAAAUCUGGAAUUGGAGUGCUUUCUCGGUCUUCCUUUGUUGAAUGCAUGGGUUGCCUCCCAAGUAGCGCUUUCUUUAACGUCUUGCAGCCGGACGAUGCUCCAUUGAAGGUUUAUGGAACCCCACGACAUGGAGGGGUUUUUCCACAACCUGUCCUACGAAAUACUUCAUUCUUUGGGUCCUUGAAUGGGAUGGGAUAAUGAUCCUUUCUUAUUGUCAUGUUUUGCUUCUCUAAAUCAACACGAACUCUCCCACCACGUUGUCUUCGAUUAGGUACCUGCACCAUACAAGGUAACAACCUAUUAGUUGAAAUGGGAAUCGAAUUUGGAAUAGGUGGCUUACCUUUGUACGGCAAAGAAGUGGUAGCACUAUGGACAUAUGCACAAGGGGUGCACUCGGCCAGAUUUGGUGAUUUCAAGGUUGGGGCCGUGCACUCUUUGUUGUUCACUCCAAUUCCUUCCUCGAUGGUAGGUUGUGGUACAUUCUUGUUGACUAGUGUUGAACAUUCCUGCCCUAUAUUUUCAAUUACAUUAAUAGCACAACAAGAACGAACAUCAUUAGUAUUCUCAACCGAUUCAGAAAUCUUAAAGUUAAUCAUAUCACCACCAAAGGCCAUAGUUACUGCUCCCUUGGCCACGUCAAUCUUGGUUUGAGCCGUUUUCAUGAAUGGUCGUCCAAGUAAGAGUGGUGAUGGUGGAGAGUGGGUUGAGUCCUCCAUAUUAAGCACAUAGAAAUCUGCAGGAAAAAUCAAAUGGUCCACCUGCACCAAAACAUCUUCCAACACUCCUUUGGGAUAUGCAUUAGAUCGAUCGGCUAAUUGAAUAAUAACACCAUCAUUUUUAAGCUUUCCUAGAUUCAUAGAUGCAUAAACAAAAUAUGGCAUGACAUUUAUAGAUGCACCUAAAUCUAACAUAGCAUGAUCAAACCUCGUAUUGCCAAUAACACAAGGGAUAGUGAAACUACCUGGAUCUUUGCAUUUAGGUGGUAACUUUCUUUGCAACAAUGCAGAUACAUUCUCACUUACGUGUACCACCUCUUUCUCCCGAAUCCGUUUCCUUGUUGUACAGAGCUUCUUCAAAAACUUGGCAUACUUCGGGAUUUGCUUUAUAGCAUCAAGGAGUGGGAUAUUGACAUGCACCUUCCUAAACGUCUCGAGAACGUCUUUCUCCUCUUCUUCGUUCUUGGCUUGCAAAAAUCUGCUAGGAAACGGUACAUUCGGAGGAAUGACAUUAGAAUUAACUUGAAUUGGACCUUCCUUACCUAUGGUGGCCGAAUUGGAAUGCUUGGGUGGUUGCGGCAUUUUUGGUUCCACCUUGGCCGUGAGUGGCCUUUGCUCAUCCUCUUCAAUUCUCAACUCUUCCUCCUCGUUGGAACGUGACUUGGAUGGUUUGAGGUCAGAUCCGACUUGCUUUCCACUUUGCAAAUGCAUAGCUUUUGCAGAUUCGAAUCCACCUUUCGGAUUGACCACUGUUGAGCUAGGCAACCUUCCUUGCUCACGAAAUUGCCCCAUGAACUCGGCAAUUUGUCCCACUUGCUUCUCCAAGUUGUCCACCCUCUUGUCUUGGAUUUGCCACUCUUUGUUUUGAGUUUGGACUUCCUGCGUCAAAGUAGUAAGUAAUUGAAAAAUCUUAUCAUUAUCACUUGAAUCACCUGCAUUGCUUUGGGCGGGUUGUGCUUCGGCUUGUGGUGGUGCCAACGGCUUUUGAUAGAAACCCGGAGGUUGUUGCCUAAAUCUGCUUUGUUGUUGGCCUUGUUGAGGGUCUCGCCAUUUGAAAUUCGGAUGAUCACGCCAACCGGGAUUAUAAGUAUUGGAAAACGGAUCACCACGUGAUUGGUAUUGGUUGCCAUAUCCCACGGCAUUGAGUGUCUCCCACCCUCCAUUCUCGAUCAAUUGUGGGCACCUGUCCGUAUUGUGGUUUUGCAUGGAGCAUACACCACAAGAAGCUACGGGUUUGACUUUUGGACCUUCCACCACCUGAGAAAGCAACGUAGUAAGGUUAGCCAUUUGAUUUUGAAGUUCGGUUAUGGCACUUACUUCAUUGACUUGAUGUUGCCGUGGCAUGCUCCUUUGUCCAACACCUUCGUAUUGUUGAGCGUUCAACGCUCGAUUAGCAAUCAACAUCUUUGCAGCCGUAGGGGUCUUGUCCACCAAUGCUCCUCCCGCUGAGGCAUCUAGCAUUUGACGUUCAAUUGGUAGAAGAAGUCCCUCGUAGAAGUAUUGUAGAAGUAGUUCCUCCUUCAUUUGAUGCUGUGGACAUGAAGCAACAAGAGAUUUAAAACGUUCAUAAUAAGUAGGAAAGGAUUCACCUUCAUCUUGUUGAAUUCCACUUAUCCUUUUACGUAGAAGGAUGACUCGAGAAGUUGGGAAAAACUUCUCCAAGAAAGCUCGUUUCAUGCUCUCCCAUGAUGUGACAGUUCCGGGAGCCAAUUCGUACAACCAAUCUUUCGCCUUCUCUAGGAGAGAAAAGGGAAAGGCCUUCAUCUUCAAGAUGCUCUCAUCCACGUUCACCGGAGUCAUGAUUGAGCAAACGACUUCAAACUCCUUCAAGUGCUUGUUCGGAUCUUCCAUGGACAGCCCAUGGUAAUUCGGAAUGUGAUGUAACAAGCUUGACUUCAAUUCGAACUCGGCAGUUUUGUCCGGAGCCGCCCUAGGGUAUUGGAUACAUAGAGGUGCGGCAUUAUCCAAUCCCGAAGCGGAAAGCUCCUUAAUCGUUCGGUUGUCCACUGCCAUGUCUUCCACUUCCUCUUCAAAUUCAGAAACGGACUCGGAACUUGCACUUGAUUCACUAGGUUCCGAGUUCUUCCUCUUUCGUCUCAACUCACGCUCAAAAUCGUCGUCAAAGUCUAAAAUAUGUUCGUGAAUCGGAUUAGAACUCCGAGUCAUAAACAAGUACCUAAAACAAGAAACAAAAUAACAUAAGAAUCUGAUCUAAUAAGAAAAACGAAAAUAACAAUCCAAGGGAUUAGCAAAGUUGCUAAUCCCCGACAACGGCGCCAAAAUUUGAUAUGAUAUUAACUAGCACUCAAAUUAACCCUCUUUUUGUCAAUUGUAGUAAGUAUGUAAGUAGGGAUCGUUCUAGGCCGGGGAUUAGGAGGGAUUGCUAAAUCACUUGAAAACUGACUCAAAAACGUAAAAACAAAGUUUAAAACACUAAACUAGACUCAAAGAAUGUAAAACUAUAACUUAAAACACCAAAACAAACCAAACGACUCAAAAUAACACAAAAACACUCAAAACUGCCUUAAAACCACUUUCUGGGCAGUUUUGAACUCUAAACAAGAUUUUGACGAAAAUAGGUUUUAACUUGACUCAAAACACUUAAAAACACAAACUAACACACUCUCUAACUAAUUUGACACUUGAAAACAAAGGGGGAUUUGGUUUUUACGAAAUUGAAAACAAAACAUAAACUUGUAAAUCAAAACAGAUUUUAAAAUGAAUUUGAUUGAAUUGAAUGGAUAGAAAGCUAGCUAAGGGGUUCAUCUCCACACAUGUUACUUGCAUUCACAACAAUUUCCAAUUGCUUUUCAAUAACCCAUGAAUUCUCAACACCCCAAGUUAAUUAGGUCCGCUUAAAUUAACCUUCAGAUUUUCCUAACGUUAUUGAAUUGGAUGAUUGCAUACGACAACCCAAAGCAUUCCCCACAAGUCCCCUACAUGAUUGCAUAAUAGAGAUACAAGAAAGAAUCAUUAAGUUCUAUGAAAACCAUAAGCAUUGACGAAGCACUUGUUACUAUGAUUGCAUGAAACUUAUGCCAAGAAUUUACUUAACGCGAUUGAGAUCAUCAACCCUUACUACUUGUGAAUAUAAGUCCAUAACGAUUAGGUGAAAUUUCCUUAUAUCCUAGCAUCAAAUUCAUGCAUGCAAAUUAAGUGUCGACCCUCAACCAACAUACACAAAUCAGUUUUAAUUCUUGUAGAUAAGUAAAUUGAAUUCACAACUUAUGAAACGCAAUUAGAAGUAAUCAAAUCAUAUAGCAAGCAUAAACAUGGUUUCGAAUCCCCCCCUAGCCAAGGGGGGUUUAGUUCCUCAUACUCGCAAAGCAAAGAUACAUAAAUUUAGAAAUUAAAAUCCAAAGAAAGAAAACACCUAGAACGCUCCAACUUGGCAGCAAGCGCAUCCAAGAAUUCUCCUUCCUCCUUGCUACGGCAGAGAAGUUUAGAACAGGUUUUUGGGGUUAUUUGUGGUGUAGAAUGGAUGGGGAAUGGUAUGGAAAGGUGUAGGGUUGAUGGGUGGUGCGGCUAGGGAUAAUUUUGGGCAGAAAAUAUGGAAUAUGGUGGUGGAAAGGUGCGGCAAAGAGAGCCUCUUUGUUUCUGACGUGAAUGAUGUAUAUGAGAGGUGAUAUCUCCGGCCAAAAGGGUUUAAUGAGUAUAUAUAGGCACUUCAAAACCCUAGCAAUCAGAUUAGGGUUUCUAGAAGCCCAAAUCCACCAGAAAUUAGGUUAAAACAAUCAGAUUUUUAGUGGGAAUAAGGCCUAAGGUGCUGCUAGGGUUAGGGUUUAGAGAUGGGCCUUCUAGAAUGCCUUGCAAGGCAAGGAAAUCAGAUAUUCUAGAGGCCUAGGUGCGGCUAGGGUUAGGGUCCACAAGGAAUUAGGGUUUAGGUCAUCUAAAAGCCCAAAGCCAAGAAUAGAAACUCUCAAAAAUGGAAACCUCCAAGAAUAGAAACUUCCAACUUUAGAAACUUUGGUUUCCAAAUCUGAAUUCUUUGUUCUUCACUUUCAUUUCUUCAUUUCUUAAGCUCCUUUGACCUUCAAACUCGUCCAUUCCUUGUGCUCCAUUAGCAUACACUCCAUUCCAGCUCAAUUUUGCUCGAAAAUGCUCCAUUUUGCACUUCUUUGCGUACUUCGUCUCUAAACCUGAAAUUGCACGAAAAUGACUUUAAACACUAAAAUAACUAAAGAAAAACAACAUAAAUGCUUAAGAACAAGCCAACUAAGUCGCAUAAAUAUGCUCCUAUCAAUAUACCCGAUCAACAUAACAUCUCUCCCCUCUAGGCAUAGAAAACUCUAAAUCAUAUCCUAGAGGUGUAUGAUGAGGUUGCGUCACUUGAGCAAAUCUACGAGAAACAACAGAAUACGUAGCACCAUAAUCAAUCAAUACUAUAGCAAAAUGACCAAGAAUGUUCAACGUACCCAUGAUUAAAUGAGGAUUGUUUUGAGCAUCCCGCAGUGUCAUGUUGUGGAUACGUCCCUGAUUUUGCUGUCAUCCACCACGACCUCUGUUAGCAUGAAUACCUCGUCUUUUCCUUGGCUGACCCGAUUAUCUCGAAGUUCCUGCAUUGCUAGCAACAAUCUCUACUUGUUGGGGUUGUCCCCCCUGGUACCACUGGGAUCCACCCGCUGAAUGUAGCUGGUGUGGCAUAGAGCCUCCUUGAUACUGAGGGUAACCACCCUAAUAAUAAGGGUCCUGUAAGUACUGAUAUUGCCCUAUAGUAUAAGGAGUGGCGUCACCCUGAUAAUGAUAAGCACCUCCACAACCAGUUUAGGCAUAACCGUUAGGUCCUGAAACUUAGUGGGUCAGCGCAGGCGGUGGUAAGAAAGGUUGUUGGGGCCUCUGCUGAUUCUGAGGGUAAUGUGCAGCCCUAUGCCUCAUCUUUCCACAAGUAUAGCAUCCACUGCUGCCUCUCCUACACUCCCCAAAAUGCCUAUUAUUACACAUGUGGCAUAAAAGAGCAUUUGACCCACCUGAACCACCAAAAUCCCUCUGCCUCUAAAAUUUACUACCUCUCCUCUGUACAUUAGAGAUCAAACCUCCACUAGAAGAGCUGGAACUGACACCACUUCUCUUAUAAAUUUGGGUCUUACGAGGCUCUUAAGAAGAUUGACCUUUACCUUUAUCAUCCUUUCUUUGGUUUCCGUUUUUUUCUUCUUCCUCCUCACUCUUACUGGGCAUAUUUAAGAAUCCUCAAUCCAUAGUAAAACCUCAUAAAACUCCUAGUAAGUGGCACAGGGAGUCGAUGUUGCUAUAGAACACCAUUUCUUUUUAGUGCCCAACCUGAAAUGACGAAGCAUCUCAACCGGAUUCGCAGCAACCUCUGGAUCAUAUCUAGACAAAUCAGUGAACCUCCUGUAAUACCCAUUCACUGUCAUUUUUCCUUGUUUUAAAUGCGUAAAUUCUUGUUUCUUGUGAUCUAUAUACUUUGGAGGAACAAAUUUUUUUUUUUGAAACAACUGCUUAAACACUUCCCAAUCAACUGCUACUUCUGUGGCAUCUGAUAAGACUCCUGUCUCGACCAGGAUGUAGGAUGCUCUCCUAAAAACCAGGUAGUCGUCUUAACCCAUCUAUUAGGAGGAAGGCUCCUCUGAUUCUGCAUCACAAGGAAAGUCUUCUCGACAUGAUUAAGCCACUUCUCCACUCCAUCAUGUCCUUCUUUACCCAUGAAAUGAUUCUACUUCAGAUUAUACACAGUCUCAAGAGGUGUCAUUUGAGGAGGACAGAGCGAAUACUGAAUGGCAUUAGCUAUAGCUUCCCCUAAUUAAGCAAUAUUAGGGAAAUUAGGCUCAGUUGAAUGACGUGGCUUUUUACGAGGCGGCAUAGUUCUGAUAGGAGACAUCACAAUGAUUAGAUUAUUCACAAGAUAUGCAGGACUGCUAAACUUGGCUUUGAUACCAAACUGACACACCCCGACCGAGAUCGAGGCAUGCUGGCCGUCACAUGAGGGUGACGUAGCAAUGUGCACAGUGCAAAAGCAAUAAUGAUAAUAGAGAGUACGAAUAAAUGAAUACCAACUCAUAAGAGUACUAGUUAAGACAAGUACUAGAAUAUGUGUGAAUACACAAUCAAAGCGUAACUAGCCUAAGUUCAGUCCAGAAGAUAAGUACUAAUUAAACGACACCCAAAGAUGCCUUCCAUUUAUGAUAGUCUAUCAGAACCACCACUAAUCCUUGUGAGCCACCAAUGAACAAAUUUAUCUAAAACCUGAAGGGACGUAAAACAGAAAGUGUGAGUGGGCAAAAAUAAAGCAUUUCAAAACCAUUUCAUUAUCAAAUGCUUUAACCCCUUACCAUAAAACAUGUAUAAUUUUCCCAGAAAUAGAAUAUAUAUAUAUAUAUAUAUAUAUAUAUAUAUAUAUAUAUAUAUAUAUUCAAAUCAUGCUUCACAUAUCCGUAUUCAUAAGUAUGCCAUGCCAAAAUAUAAAACAGAAUAAGUGACUCAGGUGAAAAUAAAUUCAUGGAAAAAUAACAUAUUAGCCGGAACCCCUAUAGAAGUUUGUACGGCUGAAUUCAUAGCUCAUUAGUCAAUCUAGCCGGAGUCACCGCAAGUGACCUAUAUGGCACUACACUGUACACGAGUCGGAACCACUGUAAUGAUCUAUACGACAAGACUGGUGUAAUAUAAUUAUGCUCAUUACUACGUUCUCAUUAUAGCUAUGCGAUAAAUCACUAGUCACCUACGAGUCGGAACCACCUAUAAUGGUCUGUACGACAAGAUUGUGCACCUAAAUUGGAUCCAAUAUGAGCAUAGGGUGUGGGAGGUGACAUUAUAAACAGGCAUGUACCAUAUCUCUAGCUAAAUCACAAUCACCUGGGGUGUAGUUUAUGAGCUCUCAAUUACGUCUCACAUUAUCAAUAUGUCAUAUAACAAAACAUAACUCACCUGGUACUUACCUGAGCGUCCACAACACCAAUUCAUAUUAUGCUGAAUAUAAAUUUAUAUGCAUGGCAUUUCAAAGCAUACUUUCAUUUAAACACAUUUUCUGGGAAAAUAUCAAGUAUAUAAUUAUAUACUGAAAAUGAAAAGCCCACUCACUGGUAUGUCGAAGGGUCGUAGCCCCCGAGCCACCCUUAACUGCGCUCAUCCUCGGGAUAGGUCUCACCUAUAUGCGAAAUAACUGACGGCAUCAGAAUAUUCCGUCAACUUUGACGAAAUAUUUUAUCUUCUUCUCCGGUUAUCCUAGCCGGUAACUGGUCGCCGUUGCCAUCGUUGUCUGCCGGUAACUGUUUUGGGACCUAAAAUCUACGAAAAUUUGCCGGAGAACCUUCGAUAAUCCGGCCAAUCUUCAAAUGCAUCGAUCUCAACUUCCCAACGUCCAAAUCAUGUCAUGUUUCUUCUCCGAGCUUCGUGGAGAGGUCCUUAAGCUCGUAUAAGCUUGAAAUCCUCUAAAAAUCAUGCAUUUACGACUGCAUGAACAAUGCUCAAACUGGAGGCUAUGGUUUCUCGGGUUUUUCGAAGCUUUCACGUCCAAAAAUGGUAUAGAUGGGUUUGUGACGAUGAGAUGAAGAUGAUGAUGGUGUCUACAAGCUCGAUCCGUAACGGGAAGUGAAGCUUCAAGGUUGUCCGUACCACACCACCACAUAAAAAGUCCAAGGGUAUAUAAGUAAUUUCACCCCGUAAAAAAUAAAUGUAUUGGGACGGGCUAUCACAGUUAGGGGGACUAAAUUUGCAAACUAAAUAAUGUGCACCAAUAGGAAUAAGCCUGUUUCACAACGUUUAAGUAAUAAACCAAUCAUCACCUUCCAUGUCCUUUGGUUUUUAAAACUUUGUAUACAAAUUUAGUCUCCCUAGCAUUAGUCAUUGAUUAAACAUAUACUUCCAUCAUUCUACAUGUGGUUUAGUUGAAUAGAAAUGCUAAGAAGACUCUUUCAAAAAUGUAAUUUUGUAUGACUUUUUUGUCAUCUCAUGUUUUUGGCAUAAGUUAUAUGCCGAUGUUAUAAAACACUGUGCAAAAAAUAUGAGGUGGCAAAUAGUUUCACUUUGAGAGAGUCUCUUUAGCAUUUCUCUUAGUUGAAAAUCAAAUUAUGGAUCAUAGAUGAGCGUACACAUAUUAUAAAAUUAACUAUUAUUAUUAUUUUAGGGAAUUGUUAUUGACACUUCAAAAAUCUCAUUUUACACUUCAAACUUUCUAUAUCUAGAAAGAACAAAAUUUUUUUGAAGAGUGUAGAAUUAGAUUUUUAGAGUGCUAAUAACAGUUCUCAUUAUUUUUUUAAUAACAAUAAAUAAAUACGAUUGUCCAAACUGAUAUAAACUUGGAAAUAUAUUUUGACAGACUUAUUUCUCAAACAAUAUAUAAAUCUAAAAUAUUAAUAUUUUUCAUUAGGUUAAGGGUUCUACGUGUUGAUAGUGCGAAUCCCACAUCAGGGAAAUGUGAGACCUUACAUGUGCUUAUAAGUAGUUGGGCGGCUCCUUAUAUUGCCAAUUGGUUUUAUGGUGGAACCUCAACUUUCUUCAUGGUAUCAAAGCAGGUUGUCCCACGUGUAAAGCCCAACGACUACACGUGCUUCACGUCACCCAAUUUGUGUUGUCCAUGUGCUAGACUUGAAAAUUUACCACAAGUAAAUGGCGUGUUGAGAUUAUUAAUCUCACAUCAAAGAAAUAAGAGAUCUUGCAUGUGCUUAUAAAUUGUUGAGUUACUGCUCAUAUGAAAAAGGGAGUAUUUCGUUAAAUAACUCUAGGGUCUUGAUGUCUAGAUUGCAUACACGAGACAUGUGAGUUUUUGUCAUACAUACUAUGUCUACAAAAAUCUUUACUUUCACACCCUUGAUAUUUGAUUCAUUUUUAUGUAGUUAAUUUUAUUAGAUGUUAAGUAGUUGAGGUAUUUGGAAGGUAAAUAAAGAUGACAAGCUUAGCACCAAAUAGUUUUAUGCAUUUAUUUUUUAACUUAUAUGAGCACAUUAUAAGUGGACUGGCAGAAGCACUUGACCGUCGACUGUCGAGAUUCGAGAGGGAGGGUUGAGGAGAUUCAGUCUGGGUUCGUGAGAGAUAUCGUAAAAGUAAGGAUUGGAUCAGUAAGAAUCUCUAAGUCUGGGAUGUCGUCGAGGACUCGAGGAGGACAAUUGAGGUUUCUGGGCUGUCGUGGUGGUCAUUAGGGCCCAGACUCGCGACGAUGAUGAUGUCGGGGUGGUGGAGGAAAUGACUGUCGGAGAGUGACGGAGUGUGGGUGGAACCGUGGAGGGGAGGGGACGACGCAUGCAAGACGGUGAGAGAGAAUCGAGUUCGAGGAUCGAGUGACAGAGUCGAGCUUGAGGAGACCAAGGGUAAAACUAACUGUUAAGAUUGGAUGGUAGGUUACUCUUCAAUCUCGUCUAUCCAUUACAAUUACAAAAGGGCCGGUCCAGGGCCUUUUUUUCUAUACAUCUGAAAUCGGCCCGCCCCUAAAAUUUCAUCACCUCACCCCGUUUCUCUUAUUAAAAAAUUAGAACCGGCCCUUACCCGUCCCAAACCUUGAUUACCAGCCCCAACCCGCAGUUCCUCUAUCCGUUUGCCCACCCUUAUGUGUAACCCCCUAACCACUAUAUAUGAAAAUCUAUUCAUGGAAGUUGGAACCACCUAGGGCGAAGCUAGAAAAAUAGUGCACAACAAAAUAAUAGCGGAUGGAGGACUAUUCUCUUUUCAUACUAAUAAUAGGGCGCGCAAGUCCAGAAAUAUUUUUCCAUUUUUUUCGGUGAGACAUUUGUUGAGCACUUAGCAAACACAAACUAUCGUGUGUGCUAACCGUACAACCCUAUCCUUUGGUGCUCUUUUAAUUGUCUUUAGGUCAAUAUUGUAAUAAUGAAACAAAGAAUUCAGUCAUAUAUGUAUAGGGGCGGGAAACUCUUAUGUAUAAGACUAGGGAGAAGAAAGGGUUAAUGGGCCUUUUAUUAUUUAAAAAAUGAUGACCAACUUCAAACUUUUCUAGAAAACAGUGUCGUUCUGCGCAAAAUAUAUAAGUUUUUAACUCUAUUCUUCUUCUUCGUAAGCUACCAUAACCAACUAUGAUACCAGUCUCUUCAUGAUCUUGGACGAGAAUCGAGUAAUAAAAUUGCAUUGGAAAGAUGUUCAUGCCGUUCAACUUUUGUUGAACUCAUAUAUUUUACGAAAUAAAAGUUAAGAAGAGAUAUUUUUUUGGGGUAAUAUAAGUAUUUUUUUUUCCAGCCCCAAAAACUUAGGGGGCCACUUACAGAGAGAAUCGAUAUGUGCCUGGAGUACUGGACCCAUGUUAUAAGUAGCAAUAUAUUUAUCGAUGUUAUACUGUAGCUUAUAUAUAAACUCGUCAUUCACACAUAAUAUAAUAUAUAAAUUAAUAAUAUUAGAAGACGUACGUUAUUUUAGCACCACAAAAUAUUUCUACUAUGUAUGUGACGAGAGAUGGAUCCAAGCAGAUUUAGCAUGCUUGAAGGAAUUUGCACAAAAUAAAUAUAAGAAGCUCAACAUUUAUAUGUGAGUCUUGGGGUAGGGACACGAAUAAGCACCAAGGAAGAAAAUAUCGGUAAUAUCGGAAAUAUCGGUAGUCCGAAAACACGGAAAUAUCGAUGGAAAUAUCGGGAUAAUAUCGAUAUCGAUAAAAAUUACAUGGAAACCACGGAAAUUGUAAGAAAAACUUGGAAAUUUUUAAUGAAACUUUGCAGGAUGUUUAUUUAGUCAAUUAUCUAUUAGUUUAUCACAAAAAAUUGGAAGGAAAUGCAUUGCAUGAUGGAUUUAACUGAUUUAAGUUGAUUAUAUAGCGAGCUGGCAAACAUUGUGAGUGUAGAAAAUAUGUAGUAAUUAAUGAAAGAAGUUUAAACACACCAUAAUCAUUUAUAUAUAAUGAAUUAGUACAAUAUUUUACACUUUAUACAUUGCAUGGUAAGAUACAUGAGUGACUUAGUACCACAUAGAGUUCCUAUGAGGUUCAAAAUUUUCAUUAUCUUCGUCAUCUCUAUGUGUAGAGUAAGUGUAUUUUAGCAUAUUUUCACAAAAACAUAAGUGAUAUGGUGGUCAAGGUGUUGAAGGAGUAAAAUGGGAGGGGUUCGAAUCCCCUUGGUGUUUUUUUCAACAACAACAACAACAACAACAAAGCCUUUUCCCACUAAGUGGGGUCGGCUAUGAAUCCUAGAACGCCAUUGCGCUCGGUUUUGUGUCAUGUCCUCCGUUAGAUCCAAGUACUCUAAGUCUUUUCUUAGAGUCUCUUCCAAAGUUUUCCUAGGUCUUCCUCUACCCCUUCGGCCCUGAACCUCUGUUCCGUAGUCACAUCUUCGAACCGGAGCGUCAGUCGGCCUUCUUUGCACAUGUCCAAAUCACCGGAGCCGAUUUUCUCUCAUCUUUCCUACAAUUUCGGCUACUCCUACUUUACCUCGGAUAUCCUCAUUCCCAAUCUUAUCAUUUCUCGUGUGCCCACACAUCCCACGAAGCAUCCUCAUCUCCGCUACACCCAUUUUGUGUACGUGUUGAUGCUUCACCGCCCAACAUUCUGUGCCAUACAACAUCGCUGGCCUUAUUGCCGUCCUAUAAAAUUUUCCCUUGAGCUUCAGUGGCCUACGACGGUCACACAACACGCCGGAUGCACUCUUACACUUCAUCCAUCCAGCUCGUAUUCUCUAUGGUUGAGAUCUCCAUCUAAUUCUCCGUUCUCUUGCAAGAUAGAUCCUAGGUAGCGAAAACGGUCGCUUUUUGUGAUCUUCGCUAGAUUGCUCCGGUCAUUAGUGUGGAUAAGUAUAUAUAAAUGGAUAGAGAUAGGAAAGCAAACACAAGAUGUACGUGGUUCACCCAGAUUGGCUACGUCCACGGAAUAGAAGAGUUCUCAUUAAUUGUGAAGGGUUUACACAAGUACAUAGGUUCAAGCUCUCCUUUAGUGAGUACAAGUGAAUGAUUUAUUACAAAUGACAUUAGGAAAUAUUAUGGGAGAAUGAUCUCUUAAUCACGAAACUUCUAAGUAUCGGAGUGUGGUGUCGCCUUGACUUGCCUUAUCUGUCUCAUAGGUAGAUGUGGCAUCUUCUCUGGAAGUACUUUUCCUCCAUCCAGGGGUGGUAUCUUUAACUGGUGGAGAUGCACAAGGUAAUGUAUCAAUUUCACUUGAAGCUUACUUGUAGUUUCAGGCUUGGUCAAGCGCGAUACAAACCAUGUAGUAGGAGUCCCCCAAGUCGCCGAGCUAGGGGGUCUGCUGAAAGAGGUGACAGACAAGGUAAGCAAUCAGAGCUCCGACUGAUUGUUCACCUUCUCCCCAUCUU
rnacentral:lncRNA from 1 species